UUGUGUCAUCUUUUUGAGGAUUCAGAAUAUGGUCACCUUAUUUAAGCCCGAAAAUACUGCAAAAAAGCAUAUCAAAUGAGCUCAUUUUAAAGCGAUGCCAGCAACAUGGCAAAAACGAAUAAUAAAGGUGUUUUAGUUUUAAAAAAACAAAAAGUGCCCGAGUGUCUCAAAUCAAACAACUUGCUUUUAUGCAGAGCUUCAAAUAGUCAACUGUCUCAUGUUGUGGUACUGUUUGUGUUUGCUGUGGUUCUCUGCUUUUUUCCUCUCCCUCUUCUGUUUCUUCAAGUGCUGCUUUGUGCACCUGGUAAUGAUUGAGUUCACCUGUAUCCACUUACCAAUCAAGUACAGAGUAUAACGAGUAGAGAAGAAGAGGCAGCCAAUGCCAAUUACAGGGACAAGGACAAGUAUCUACCUCGUUCAAGUCCCGCCAAACUUUAAUUUGGCAAAAACCAACAUGGAUGUCUGUAUUUGAGACAUUUUAUUGCAGGAAAGAAAAGACUAUAUUGAGUCAGCGCCACAUGAUAACUUGAGUUAAUCCAAAAGUUUUGUCAACUUUGUGUGAAAACACAAGAAGCGAAAUGAUCAGAGGACCAGUUCUCAGCAGGAUUUCUGGCGAGCGAAAAGCAUAAAGGCAAAAGUCGAGAUGAGAGGAAGAGACAACGAGAUGAGUGACGAACACAAACUGAGGAAGUUGUGUUGAAAAAGUGGUAUAAGGUUGGACAGACUCAGUAGACUGGUGAUAUUUCCAAACAAAAGACUUUCCUGCGUGCAAAGCCAAAGGAUGGUUUGAACAUAUCACAACUGUUAUCCAUCGUAUCUCCACUUGUGUCUUUUUCCGCCUAAGCUUAGCUAUUCUAGAUGCUCUAGAGAUUUUGGCUAUUUCGGUUUGACGCAGCUGCUGUUGGUGGUUACAAGAUUUGGCCGGUUUGGAUCAGAGGUUCGCCAUAAGCCUUUCCACGCCAACAUAAACAUGCUCGCCUUGAAAUUGAGCAGAUGUGUGUGCGGAAAGAAAAAUUGCGAACUUGUGUUUUGGACAAAUGGAUCCACGCCAUACUCAGAGUUACUCCCACCAAGAGCCGAGAAAUAACAGAGGUCAUAAUGAGAAAGUUUAGGGUCACAGAAGAAGAGGUCUUGAUGUAUGUAUAUUUUACAGUUUGAAUUAAUUUGAUUUAUUUUAGAUUCUUCAGGCGAGAGUGAACUCAAACUAGAUUCAACUACUCAAAUACAAGCCACUUGUAAUCUCAACAGUUGAGUUAAAUGUGCAAAAAAAAGUGGUUGAUAAUUGCGUUUAAAAAUGUAAUAGGUAAUGCAAUGAUUACAUGUAACUGUUAAUGGAUUAUAGAGUUUCUUUGUGUGAAAUGUGAUCGGGUUAUUGUUUUAACCAACACCUAAUAUGUGAAAUUUAAACUAUGUUGAGAUAGUAUGAUGAUGUGGCAGUCAAGCAUCUUAACUCAACAUUUGCAUGCAAUAGGUUGCCAAUGAAAUAAUGGUUUCUACUACCUGCCAUUGACUUCAAUCAAUAUUUAACCCUCAGGGGCUCUUAGGACAUUUUUGUCCAUUUUUGGUGACUUUUUUCCUUUCUUUUGUUGAUCAUUUUGGCUGUGUUGAUACAAACAGGACGAUUUUUUUCUUUCCAAAUUUUCAAACCUGACCACCCAUUUUUGGGCAGGAAUUUAUUUUUUUUAAAUGAUUUUUCUAUCAAUGUCUAUGAUGUGCCAGUUAUUAACAACAACAUAAAUUUUGAUACAUUAUUAUGUUUGAUGUCUUGUCCGAUUUCUAAAAAAAUUACACUUAGGUCUAUCUGAAUAAAUCUCUUAGUUCAACUGUUCAAGAGAAAUACAUCAAACAUAACAAUUCAUCAUAAUUAAUGUUGUUGUUAAUUAUUGGCAUACCAUAGGCUGCCAAAUAAAUAAAAUAAAAUAAAAUAAAAUAAAUUCCUGCCCAGCAUCUAAUAUAUGGAAAAUAACUCCAAAUUUCUGCUUUUCCCAUUAAAAAUAACAGUGACAUCAUGUAGUCAAACUGGCAUUUAAAGGGUUAAAAUUCUGAAAAUGAAUUAAUAUUUGAUAGAUAUGAUCCGGAAUGAAGUUGAUUAAAUAUUUAAGCAAAAAUGGUGGAAAAAAUAUUAAUGUAUGAUAAUUUUAUAGCACUUUUAGGAGAUGGACAUUUUUGUCCAUCUAAGGACCUAAGUGUAACUUUUUUUCAAGGAGCCCAGAGGGUUAAUACAACUAAUUUCAACACGCUUCUGCAUAAUCAUAACAUUUCUUUGGAUACAUACUGCUAAAAUCUACAUAUUGUACCUUUAAUGUGGGCAAUGCAGGCUUCAUAUGUCUUCCAGCUUGACUGAGCAUUAUGUUUACACAAAUAUGAAACAAUAAUGAAAGUGAACAGUAACAGGAAAAAAGUCUUCACACAGCUUUGAGGUUCCCCUGGUGGGAGUUGUGGGGGAAUCAAAGAGCAGGAUGUGCUUUCUCUCCUGUUCGAUAACAAACACUUCAUCUCAAUGAGGUUGACUUCAGUAAACAUUGACUAAAUUACAAAUUCUGGCAAAGGAGGCAGCGGUGACUCAGCUCAGUCUUUGUCAUCAACUGAUGGAGAAGGAACCAGUAAAUUAAGGCGCCGUCAGUCUCAGGGAGCCGAGUCGCAGUCAUCAAUUCAUUAUCACCCACAUCCCAAGAACAAAACAACCUACGCUGUUAAAUAUUUCUGACUUAAGACACUUGGGUGACUAAAGCGGAGUUAUGCAACAUGUCUAAGUGGUGAACCCGCUGGAAGAGGAGCGUGGAGGGAGUCGAGAGUCAAAGUUUACUCUCCUGCAAGGGGCCCGGAAAAAGACUUGAUGGUGUAAUGGAGGACGAAGAAGACUUUUGGACGCAGAUUGUUUGUGAAGAGAGGCUUUCAGUUUUAGAUACAAGGUCGUCCCCUGAUCCUUCCAACCCUGUUUACUCAUGCCUUGAGUAUAUCAGUGCCAGUGUGUGUGUGUGUUUGUGUGUGUUUGUGUGUGUGUGUGUAGUUUGCGGGGGUGAUGAGUGAAUGUUUUUGUGUGUGUCACUUUGGUUACUCAUGGGACCAGAGGUUCUUUCAGAGACAGACAGCGUUGACUCGGCUCGACAAACUUGGACACUCACACACACAUGAGCGCAAACGCAGAUUAAUCUUCGUCAAGACUGGCAGGGCCUGCGGACAACUUGGGGACUAUUUUUUUUUUUAUGUGUGGGUGGAAGGACGUGAAAGGGACAUGUAAUCAGAACUCACAACGUGACUAGUCAGAUGAAGAUUUUUCUAAAUUUGUGUGACAUUUAAAGAUCUCUAAAUUUGAUUGAAAAUUAUAAUUUCAGAACUAACGGAGGCAGAUGUUUGACAAAAUAGACUUUUAAUUAUUUUGCUUUAUUUAAAUUUAUUGCAAAAACAUAGGGGGCAAAAAAGUUUCUUAUUACAAGAAAUUCAGGUCCGAUUUUUUGAGAAAAUUAAAAUAAGACAUUUUUCUGGAUUUAUCAGAUAAAUACAACAAAGACACUUCACGAAAACACUUCAAGAUUAUCCUCUGCCAAAGGUCCUUACACACAGGGAACGAUGCAAAUAUACGACCUGAAAUUACAAAAUAUUCAGAGGUGAAUUUUGACGCGCCUUACUAUACACAUCAAGCACGAUGCAAUUUUGCAACUUUUCGGAGGGAAAAAAGACGCGUCCUGGGUGGAAGCAAAAAGACUGACACAACAGCAGACUGACUGUAUUUCAGUUCUGAUUAGACACUAGUGUUGAGAUGUCUGUCUGUCAUGAUAGCAUGUACUGAGUCGGGGCCAGUACCAGAUAAGCACAUUAAACUAUAAUCCAUAAACGUAAGGUAACAACCAAGACCUAAUGGUGCUGUGACAGCAACGAGAUUGAGUUUGAGACAAUGAAAAUACAUAUGGUAUGUUGUAUCUGAACAGGUUAGCUUACGAGCUAAAGUUACUUAGCACAGAUGAAAGUUAAAACAAAGACGUUUAGCAAACUGUUCAAGCACACAAACCAUCGUCAUAUGAGAAAUCCGACACUAUGACUCUCCACAAGUUGUCCUUCAGGUCGUUAUCUUUGUAAUAUUUGUGUUUUUUAUCAAAAAGCACUCUGUUCUCCGACACGUAAACAAUCAGACGGUCGGCCAUGUUGGAUAUGCUGGUGAAUCUGACGUCGCAACAACAUGCAAUCUGAUUGGUCAGAGGUGGACACACAGUAUGCAAAACUUUAAAAAAUUUGACCGUGAUACCAAAAAAUAAAUGCCGCAAUAUAGCAGGACGGGGAAAUGUCACUGAUGUUAACGCUUGUAUUGACAGGAUACAGGUUUGAAAAAAAACCUUUUACCUAUACCGGCCAAGUAGUUAUUGAGUAUGAUUAAAAAAUAAACUAUUGUAGCUCUUUUUUUUCCACUCGUUUUGACUGACAGGUUCACUUUCUCUGUUUCUAGGGCAACCAAAGGUUUGGUUAUGCCAGUGUUUCUUUCAUGGCUGCCUUUUUUCAGUUCUUAAGUCAAAUAAGUGGCAUUUUUGGAAACUCAAGUGCAGUGCUGCCUGAUUUGUUGUUUACCAGACACUGCUGUGAAAGGGUCAAAAGGAUUCCUGCGACUUUGCAAAGCAAGACAACUAACAAACUUUCAAGAGACUCCAUUUCAAGUAUGUCAUGAGAUUCCUCAAGUGGACUGUUUUUUUUACAGACUUGUUCUUUUUCUUCUUUUUAACAAAUAACCAAGUGAUGCAAUUUUAUGUAUCCCUGUGAUCCACGAACAAGAGUGACUUCAUGUCCAUCCAGAGGGGUUUAAUUGGCUUUGAGUGCAAACAUGAGAAAAUCCUGUCCAAGUUUGUUGCUUUGAGGAUACCUUGACAGGACCACCACCUAGCAAGCAUAUAAAGCUUUUUCUUUCUUCAUGGGAUUCACUGUUGACCGAGAUCUGAACAUGUUUGAUGGUUUUUAUCAAGGGUGAAUAAUCACAAGGAAUGCUGAGAUUAUUAUAAGAGCAGAAAUUCCUCAAAGUAAACUUGAAAUAUCGACAAGGACGCCGAUUUCAGUUUUUACCUCUAGACUUUGCAGAAAUAACGUAGAAAGAAUUUUGAAAAUUGCAAAUAACUUGACAUAUUUUUGAACAAACCAAUUAAAUAUUCAGUGAUGACCUUGUGUUGUGGAUCAAAUGUUCGAGUGUAUGGGAAUAAAGACUAUUUUCACUCCCUGUGAACUCAUGUGCCCUGAAGAUGGUGUCACAACGAUUUGUAAAGACUUGGAAAAGGACUGACGGUGUGCCUUCGAGUGUUUAAAAGUGUAUUUAUCACUGACUAGGCUGCUGUUUGGGAUAUCUGUCAGCUCUGAAAGGUACGACACAUAGUAGUUAUACCUCAAACUUAACACUUAAGAACUCUGCUGGAUCGCCGGUGAUCCCAUGUGACACCAUUAAUAUUGUUUACAGUUUCUUAGGAACUAUACCGUUUAUCUCUAUGGGAUAAAAAGUUCAAAAGCUUACCCUUUUGGCGAUCUAUCGAGGGUUUCCAGGCAUUUUUACACCUUCCACAAGGUUUACAACCUAGCCACAAAAAUAAGUGUUUGAUCAAAGACAUUUGAUGGUAAAUCUGCAGUGAUAUACCGGUGAAAACAUGAUUAUUUAUCAUAUUGUUGUGAUAGAAUAAGAUCGCUAUCGCUAAAUGCCACUGAUGUCUUCCAGGUUUGACAAGCUGUUUUGAUGACAUCUUUUUUUGUCAACUUUGCGACCAAUGCCAUGGUCUCAUAUUCUUCUUCUAUUGUUCCCUUGAUGGUAGUGUCCAAUAAGAGGCAACCAAAGAUCAACAAGAGACAAGAAAGUUCCCUGCUUGUAUACAAAGUGAGAAAUAAUGGUCCUCAAUGCUUGGAAACGAGCAAAAAAGAGAUUAUGAGCAGUAUGAUGUGACCCUCUGUCUCAUCCCAGACAGGAACUACUUCAAGGAGUGACAUAAACAACUGGAAAUAGCAAAAAAAACACCUGUAAGAAUUAGUGUAAAUAUGUAAAUAGUUCCUGUUGUGUGUUUGUUCCAAUCCCAAUAUUUCUUCUCCUGAUAGCCAAGACUUGAGAGAAUGAUGUGACGGUGAGAAAAGGCUUGGUCACUGUAGAUUUUUGAGCAAAGUACUGUUGGUAUCAAUUUCCAUUUUUGUUUUUUGGUUGACUUUUAUGAUUCUGAAUCUACUGUCACAUUCAUUUUACAUAACUUUGCACCCAUAAACUGACAGCUGAGGUUUUUGCUAUUUGCUAUGCUUAAAAAGACAGAGUUGCAACAUAGAUUUUUACAAAAAAGGCGAACAAAAAAUAGCAAAAUAUAGCUGGGAGUUCUGAGGGUUAAGGUUAUCAGUAAGUAGAAGACAUUAGCCUUUCAUUUCACCCCUGCUUUUAAAGACAUGCUGUUUUCAUUAAAAUACAUAGCCGAGGUGUACCUCAAGGUUCUGUACUUGGACCCCACACUUUUUACUAUCUGCACGUUCCCUCUUGCUUUAUGACUAACCACAGAUGCCUCUAUUUAGUGUCCAUUUCCAAUUCUAAACAUAGUGGACUAUAAUCUAGAUUUGCUUCUGCAUAUCUGCGUUCCUGUUCAUAUUUAUUCUCCUCUAGGUGUAGCUUUUAACUUGACACAUGUCUGAAUUUCCACUUUCUCCGUCUGUUUGUAUUUUAAUUGAUUUUUAAAACUAAUGAGGUCGUUUGUGUUUCAUCAGCAUUUCAUUGCCAUAUGUACGACUGCAGACAGUAAAUAUGCAGAGAUUUAUAGCGUUGCAGUUCAUUGUGCUCGGAGCUUAUUGAAUAAAUUGCAGAAUUACUAAUACAUCUAAAUGACUCACAGGGUCCUAAAGAAGUGGCUUUAUUACCUCGACUGUAUUUGAUUGAUGGUAAACAGAUGAAUUGAAAAUAGUCACACUAAAUGUUGUGUUAUCUACCAUUAGAGAUUUUUACAGUCAUUACAUAUUGAUUGUGUCGUCUUGCACACUGUUUACCCCUUGUGUUCGGCUCAAUAUGUAAGUACCUAACAAGUAACAAAGCUCCUUUGUAAUGGAAUAAUGAAGUCCAAUGGCUGUGAUGUGUAGAUAUGAGGAAAAAUGGGGUGAUAUUUAAGUGUGAGACAAGGAUAUAAUUGCGCCACAGUCGCUACCUGCAGAACCAGAUGUGGCUGGUUAGAAGAGAUAGAGCCUGUCAUGAUAUUAGCUUUUCACUUCACAAGUACCAAGGCCAAAAAAUGAAUGAAUGAAUAAAUCGUUUUACCAAAAUGCCGAUUUAGGCCUGCAUGCACUCCUGUGGAUUAAGUCCAAAAUUUGUUUUCAUGUGGCCUCAGAUUUAUCCACGGCACGCAGGAGUGAUGUUUUCGCUGCGCUGUUGAAAUACUGAUCGGCAUAGAUUGAGAAAAUUCCUCCAACUCAGAAAAUUCAGGGACACAGCAGAGGAAUUGAAGACCUUCUCCACCUGUCGAGGGUGAAUUGGUCUAAUGGUGAUCACAUCUGGUCAGGUCGGACUGACCUAAAUAACAAGACUGAGAUCUAGAGGAGAAAUAAAGCAGGUUUAGCAAUUUUGGAAUCAACAUCAGAGUUUCAACUGUGAGGGGUAUAUUUCUUAUCUUGUCCUGUCCUGAACUCUGUUUAACAUGUAAAUUAUGUUCACUGUGUCACAUAAUGUAGUCGAUGUGUACAUGACUCUGCGUGAUACAAUAUGUGAUCAUGCAACUCUUACCCCAGGAUAUAUUAAACAUUUGAUAUCAAGGACUUUAUUCUCAACCUCUGACUGGAUAUUUGAAUACAUUUACACGGUAUGUAAGCGCAGCUAAAUUUACAUAUAGAAGAGAUAGUCGUUUAACAUAUGCAAACCCCCCAAGCCAACCAGUACACUGAGCCACAGAAGUAGAAACUGGAACAAUACAAGCUGUAGAUGACGGCAGGGAUCAGUACACCACUGCGAGGGUUUAAUAAUGUGUCAUAUCUCUCGUACGGCUGAGUGUGAGCUUUCCCGUGUUCGCCUGCACCAGUGUGUUCGUGCACAGAUCUGUCACAUUUACCGUGAGAAGAGUGUUGAUUCCACUUUUAUGUUUCCUGCAGCAACACUUCAACACCGAAGUGACAGAACUCCCCGACAGAGCCCAGCUCACAGCAGGGCGGGCGGUUAUUGGGAUGCCGUGUGUGCAACCUGAGUUUGAGCAGCAUGCACGCCGGUUCUCACACAUGUGCCUGAGAGUGUCUGUGUGGAUAUGAGAGUGUGUGUUUGGGCCUGGAGUGAAAACAGAGCUGGUUCAGCAAAGGUACUUUAGAUCUGCCCUUGACCCAAGUCAAUCUGCCAUGUCUAGUUUUAAAAUUAAGCACAUGAUGGCUGUGUAGGCCCAGCCCACGCACCUUCUGGCCACAUUAGCAUUUGAGCAUCCAAUCGUACCAAAAAGCUUCACAUCAAAACUGAACGGCAGCAACUAUGUUGCAUAAACAUGUCUUUGGGUGAUAGACAGUGGUUGUCAUUUUCAUCAUGAAAUGUCUUUGCACUUUAUAAAGUAUGUCCUGCAGAACAGUGCAGCCUGACAUGAAAGCAGGUUUUGCCCUUUUAAGCUCUACCUUUGUGUGAUAAUUCCUGGAAACGGGUGCAAAAUACUGUGUUGAAUAAACUGAAAUAAAACAUUCAGAAAGAAUCUGAGCCCAGUGCAUGUGACUUCUUACGAUGGAGAUAGUUAUGUGAGUUCACUGAACCUCAAAGAAGACAUAUUUUACAGAUUUUACCUAUACUGAUGCCUCUGAAGACUGUCGUUUAAGCAUUAUUCAGCAUCUCUCUGUAAAGUGGGACUUAACACAGUUUUGUAGUUGCAAAACACCGAAAAAAUUAAUUAGUCCUUUACUGAUGAUGUCUGACUACUCACCCUCCAUUUAACCACGCUAGCCUAUGUAAGCUAUUGUUGCAUUGGCUAUCAUAUUGUUACAUUUUGCUAGUGGUAGGUAGCCUUCAUUCAAGGUCCAAGAACAUGAUUCAAUACGAGGUGACAGUUAAGAUGCAAAUUCAGCUCCUACUGGCCUUUGUUUACAAAAUUCCCAUAAUUUAAGAUGGGAAAAGUUAAGAUUGGACUAUGCUGUUAUCUCAAAAAGAUAAUUCCUUAUGAUUUUCAGAUGUGGUGAUUUUUUGGAAGUUAAAAAAAAAAAUGCUUGCUUGUCGGCUUGUUGUCUGACAAAGCUACCAGGUAGGCUUGUCUUUUGGGAUUGCUCUAAUGGGACCAAGUUGUUCAGGUAAAUCAAAAAAUGUUAUCAAAAAAGGUUUAAAGGAUAAUCCUAAAUCAAUCCAAACACCAUGAUAUUAAACAUUUCAAAUCUAUGCAGAGGAGUGCCACAAUAGCAUGUAAUAGCAAUGGGUCUGAGAUUGGAUUAGGCUUUCUCUUGGGCACCAACUGUUACUAGAUAGGACAUCUUCCUCCAGUCUAGAGGAGUUGUUAAAUUCCUGACAAAUCAGAUUUGGAUAUUUAUCGGACAGUGUUAUCAGCAUAGAGUUGAAACUAAACACUACAGGUAAAUUAUAAACAAAAAUAGGAAAAAAGAGGUGGACCUGAUGUUGAUCCCUGAGGCACACCUCAUUAAGGAAUCAAUGUAUUUCUUGAAAUAAUGAAAUAUUUAUGAUCUUGGUUAAAUCAAUACAAACCUUCAAGAAGUUUGUUAUAAAUUUUCACCAUUUUGGCAUGUUUUUAGGCAUGAAAAGAUUCCAGCAUCCCAACCCAACAGAGGUAUUCUAAAACCCACCACCAUUUUAGCACAAUACAUUGAAUAGUUUGAUUUCAUGACCAACAUUUCUUCCUGGCAAAUGCAGCUUGAAUGCUCACAGCUAACAUUAUGCAGUCGUUUUUGGUGAACCCUUCACAAAGACACAUUGCAAGUUCGGCCUGGCUGAGAAAAAUAGCAGGCGAGCUUAGUUGAAACGUCUGAAAGCAAUUGGGGGGGAAAAAGCUACUGAAAAAAAUGCCAUGGCAAUUUGGUGAAUUACAUCUCCCCGUUUGCUUCCGCACACACCAUAUGGGGUGUUUUUGUGAAAUUCAGAUGGCCUUUGCUCACGCUGUCACUUAGGCUCUGAAAUUAGCUGCAAUUUAGCUCUUUUUGAAAACAUCAACCCGAGAAAUACAAAAAGAAAAUCCAACCGUCAAUAGAAAAACAAAGCUUUACAUUUGUCUUGUUCAUUGACAGGCCUUUUCUUUACAAGGGCAGUAAGUUCAGCGAGGAGCGAGACUGUCCUUAAAUGAGAGCAAAUGUGUUCAAAGCCUCGCUCGCUAGCACAAGCAUCUGUCAAACACCCUUGAGCAAGAUGCCAAUUUCUGUCUUCAUUACUAUCAGUCAUUUGAGAAAAUCGGCCCUUAAUGGCCCAAAUUUCUCCGACAAAGUGAAAAGUUUUCAAGAGGCAAGAGAAACAGACCACUUCACUUGCUUUUACUGCUGUUCUCUGGGUUCCAUUGGUUUUAGAUUAAGAUUCAAUAUGUAUGCUCCAAAAUAAAGAUUAAAGGGUUUCAUGCACAAAUAAGAGAUAAUGUAGGUAAUGUGAUUAAGAACACAAAGUGAGUCUCAGAUGGACUUUAUAAAGGGAUUCUUGUGCACAGUUGUCCACUUUAUAUUAUCUUGCUAAUAAUUAAACCCUGGUUACUCGCUAAAAAUCAUUUGAUUUACCACUGAUUAUUAUACCAUACAAGUUAAACCAUUACAUUCAGCAAUGUGCAGUUUUUAUGCAGAUGUGUAGCUCUUUCUAGUGCCAUUUCUUACAGGGUUGGAUUCUGUGCAAACACAUCUAUAUGCUAUUUGGGCACAAGGUGCAGUGGCAUAGAUACAGUGCUGACCUUCAGUAGGGCUUGACCGAUAUGGAUUUUUUGGGGCCAAUGCCGAUACCGAUAAUGAUCAUAAGGGGGGGGGAGAUCAGAUUACAGAUUAAUCGGCCGAUUUUUUAUUUUUUUUACUUAAGUUAUAAAAAAUAUAUAUGUAUACUGUAGAUACUGUGGAUAUACUGUAGGCUACUGCUCUUGACAACGACAGGAAGACUGAACUGAUCAAACUUGGACCGGAAAAGCGUUUUCAACUACGAUUGGUGCCUACGCGUCUUCACUCACGAUACUCAUUUACGGUCCGGUCUCAUCUGGAGACAUGCAGCUGCCUCAGUAAGAGAAGUAGCUCGAUCACGUAAUGUUUACUGUUGUUUGUUCUACCGUUACUGACACGGCUAACAGUGUAGCAAGGCUUAUAGCAGAUUGCUAACUCUAACUUUAGCUUGCAUAUUACAUGGUGCUUCACUGUUAACUCAGCGUGACCGAGACCAGCACAGCGGGGAACAUCGUGAAGUGGGUUGAACUGAAACUUGUUGACUUAUUGUGUACGCCUCAACUGGUUUAUCCACUGUUGAGGCGGACCACUCCCCUCCGUGCGUCCCUGAGCUGCCCAUUGUCCAGAGGUCGUUGCGCCAUCUACAGGAUAAGUAGAUGUUUUCAAAUGGCGGAACAUUUUCAAAGUGAAACCAAAUCUUGUUCUCCGCAUUUUAUUUCUGAAAAUAUCAGCGAAAAUCGUCGAGUUUUGGCCAGUUACCGAUUAGUCUCAAACAGGCUAAAUUGGCCGAUUUAAUCGACUUGCUGAUAAAUCAGUCUGGCCCUAACCUCCAGCUUCUUGCAGGAAGAUUAACCGACCUCUACUCUUUGUUGGAAUUGUGGGCACUUUUUUGAAUCACUUUCAAUCGCAGGCGUUUGGUCUCUAUUUUCUAUACGAUGAUGUUGUUUUCUUCUUGUAGAAUAUGGUGGUCCAUGCACUAUUCAUACAUUGAGACUUAUUCAUGACAGAAUCCAAUCAUUUUUUUAUCACCUUAUCCGCCAUCCCCCUCCCUACACACGGACAUACGCAAGUAAAGAUCAGAGACCUUGUUGGUUGAAGUUGUUUGAAGAAGGCUGUUAUUACACCUUCUGGGAGAAGAAAGAAGAAAAAACAUGUUACCAUUACAGAAAAGAUGCCCGAGGCUUCAAUGACUUGCUAUGCCCUUUCAUUUAGUUUCUGUGUUGGAGUUCUCGCCAAUGAAUGGAGAAUCUAAGAGAACCCUUAAGGUGCCUGGAAAGUUGUUCAUGAGGUGCAGCGGGGAGCAGAAAGUUGAACUGCUGGGUAGAUUGAAAUUGCUGGCCACUGAUCCUAGAGAACAGCAGUGCGGUGAUUACUACCGUGAGGUGUUUACACCUUUAGGGUGUCUGCUGGCACUUGCUGGAGUGGAGUGAGGUGUUUUAUCUGGCUCAGAUAAUUAAAAACAAUCCUCAAACAUUCAAAAAUGAACAAAUGGGAUAGUACUUGGUGGAGGAUGUUGUCUUUUGAAAUUGAAGAGGUCACCAUCUUGGUUGGAGUGGCUUUAGACGGACAAUAUGUUUAAUGCACAUUCUUAGAUUGUCUCUAUUUUGGUUGAAAGUCAGUCAAAGUAGCAACAGCUGACCAAAAGGUAGCCAAAUUUUUAAAGCAAAGUCUGCUUCAUUGCUGGUUUUACUCCAAAUGGGACCAAUGUUUUAAAAAAAUAACACCGCACUGUAUGAAUGAAGACUUGAAACUAGCAAUUAAGGCGAUUAAAUCAUUAGGAAAAUGUUAAUAAGGUAAUAAAUUGACAGGGAAAUGGGGUAAUUUUCCCAUCUGGUUUCUUUGAGCUGAGUGCAGCCCCCCCUUUGCCAGCGAUGAGAAACAAUGCAGGUUAAUUGCACUCCAGCACUGGCUUCGCUUUUGAAUCCAAGAGUGGCUACUUCCACUUCCUUUUACACGGUCCGUGGUUUCAUGCCUAGGGGGUUAUUUUUUUCAGUUUUCUUGCAAAUGAUGGCGCCAUUAAACCUUUGUCAAUUAGCCAUCUGGGGGUCGAUGGGAAAAAAAGCACUCAGGCUGUAAUCAUGGUUCCCCUACCUUGCUUGCCAAAUACUCUCUAACCGGCUGGACUCUCCAACUCCCAACUCUCAAAUGUCCUUAUGCGCUUCAUAAUCACCCUGUGGAAAUGUGCACAAAUCUGUUCGUGUGUGUAUUUGUGUGUGCACGUCGCAGUUUGUCUCCUUUUUUAAAAUGACUGUGAAAAUCCUCCGCGCGAUUGACGAGCACCAUGUAAAAACAUUUACAUUCUCUACUUCUUGGUGCCAGUCUGGAUUAAACUGGCGAUGAGGAGGCUCCACUUUGAUUAACCUGCAUGAAUAACAGGGGCCAUCGGCACGAGAAAUCUCUGUGGACUCCACACUUGUGCACGCCCGCACACACACUCACCAUUUAGAUAAUUGACUCAUCAUGUCUUUGUCAACACUCCUGUCUUUUUUCUCAUUCACACCCUCUUUGCUGUCCUAAACUCACUGCACUGUUACAGCUAGUUGGAUAAAAAAGCCUCCACCAUGUGUGACGUGUGAAACUCUCUCUCCCUCUGUAUCCCUCUCCGUUUAUGCUCAAAGGCACCCCUGCGUCUUGCUAGCAAUCAGCAGGAGCUGCUUGACUCAGCCUGUAUGUAAAUGAGGUGAUUAUCUCACUUUUGGAAAAACCUGUUAUCUCUGUGUUUGUUUUAUAAUGUGCAGUAUGCAGGAGAUACCUGCAACUUUUAGGGACGCAGCAGGGAGAAGGUAAACGGAUAUGUCAGAAACUGAUGAAUUAGUAGUUUCUGAUUCUGAACUUGCACAGUUUUUAGGUUUUGUUGUGAAAAUAGAGUCCCAGCUGCAGAGGGAACCAUUGGCUAAGGGGUUUAGAGGUGCGCCCCAUGUAUAGAGACUACAUCAAGCAUGCAGCUCAGGUUUGAUUCUGGCCUGCAGUUUUUAUUGUGUGCACCCUCUGGGCACUAUUUUGGACUUUAAUUCAUAGGUGCCAUAUGAUAAGCUCAUUCCAAGUACUGGGAAUUGGUUCCGAACACAUACUCAAAAAAAGGCCUGUGGAUUUAAUGGUUGGAGUUACACUUUCAAGAUAUCUAAAAGGCAUGGUUGAUGAUUGGAGAGAUUGGUAAUUAUUAUGGUCAUGGUCCUAAAGUUCGAUUUUCAUAAAGUGAAGAGAAAAAAGAAUGGAAAAAAUCUGUUCACCCUAGCAGGUGCAGGGCUGCAAAAACAUAGACCAAUGCAAGCCAUCCGUCCCAGGCGCAAUAUUUUUAAAUCCUGCCUCCUUCACUUCUGAUUGGCUAGAAAAGCUGGAAACGUCAUCACACACUCAAGUCAAACGUGGGCUGUUGGCUCUGUACAUCAAACAGAACAUUAUCGCACAUCUGAAUCUCCGAACCCUAACCCUAACCCUUACCCUCAUUCUAACCCUAACCCUAACCCUAACCCAAAAGACGAUGACGUUUCACAGCCAUUAGGAAUAACCAAUCGGAGCCCAGCAUUUCUAGCCAAUCAGAGGUGAAGGAGGGCGGGACCUUGCCCUACCAUCCAAAAAAAAUAAUAAUAAUUCCUGGACAGCUAGUAUUGGUCAAUCUCAUGCUCUGCUUCUCCAUCCAAUCACCUUGCUGUAUUCGACACACCUCUCCCCCCUAGUUCCGACUAAUCCCCUCCCACUCUCUCGGCUCUCCUUGGAACUCUGAGCAGCUAAAACUAGCGUAGCAGCUUAGCUACAGGAGCUGUGAUGGAGACGGAUGGGGAAAAAAAAAAACCCUUUUCUGCUUGCCCCACCACCAAAAGUGCAAAGAAAACGCAAGCCAACGGAAGAAAGGGCAGAGUCGAAGAGGAUCAUCAACCACGCCUUUAAUGUAAAUAAAACUGCUGACUGCUUGCUUUGAAUGGGAGUCGAACCACGAACUAAAUGACCUCCACCGUAAGUCAUCCCCAGCUUAUCACACCACAUCACCUGACUCCAAAGUCAAACUGAAAUAUUAAUUCAGAGAAUAGAGGCCGGCGUUGACAUGUAAGAGGCAUCCAAGGAGUCAUAUUUGGAAGUAUUGGCUCACUAACCAAGCUGGCGUAAAUGAUAGCUUGGGAGGGAGAUUGAGCAGAGAAGUCAUGAGUUCUGCAGGAUGGAUACAUGGUCCCAUGCUGGGAACCUCGCUCACAAAUAGUGCCAACAAUGUUCACUGGAGCAGACAAGCGAGUUAAGACACUGCCGCAGAGGGCAGGACUGGGAUUUUCCCAGCUUGUGGCCAAUUGUUUUAUCCCUCGACUCCCACAAAACACGCUGUUAAAGGGGGCGCGCCUUUGAUUUAAAGGCCAGCUGGUUUGUCAUGAGUAGUACCAGUCAACCUGUGAAAACAGCUGUGAAAUGUCCUGCAGCUUUCAUCCCUGACAAAAUCAACCCUGGGUAAGAUUUUCCUUGCUUGGCUUGGCCUUGUGGAUGAAAUUUUAACCAAAAUCUGGUGGUGCAAACUAGAGGAAUGGAGUUUGACAGGUGUGGGAAUUUAACAGACAGGAGGGAGUCAAUAAAGAUUUAUUGUUUGCCAAAAAGAAACGUGUUGGGUACCAGGCUCAAGUUUCGAGUACUUCUCAAAAGGGAAAAUUCUGUCUUUUAAGGUCCUUUCUUUUAGCUAGCAGUGUUGUUUUUGUGCACAGCAGACCUCAUCACAUAGCCUCUGGCUGCUGUGUAUAUUUUUUUCAUAAUUUAAAGGUCAGUGUCACCAGGGUAAUCACUACAACACUUUCUAUUAUCAUAUAAGGGUGAAAGAGGACAUAAAUAAGCUAUUUCAGUCUUUCUAAGUGACAUUUGUUUAUAUUUGUGGUCUUGAUGUCUUAUGAUGAUCCCCGUCUGGCCGACAUUUUAUUUACUGCUAAAUCACCAGUCGUGUGUAUGCAUUCGCUUUGGCAAACGGCCUCGGCUGUAAAUCUCCAAGCUGCAUUUUUACUUGUGCCCAAGCCCCCUAUAGUUCAUGAAUAACUCUUGCUUUAAAGAUACCGAGAGUGGGUUCGGGCAAGGGAAGGGGUGGGAUAUAAAUCUGAGGCUGACACCUUCAGUGAAAGUCAUUAGUCAGCCGUCACUGACCCUGGCCCAACGCCAUGUCACAAGAACCUCCCUCUCUCUCCAUCACUCGCUCGUUCUUUUCCCAGCCUCCCUAUCGAGAGUUACCUCACCUGCUUAUAGCCUCAUUCCUUUAAUGGAGUCGAUGGCAUAAAGGGCAGGACUCAACCAUUUUUUAAGCAUAAAAGCAAACACACAUAAGCGCAGGCUACUUUACAUAAUAUUAAACUAUUAGCAUGCUAAAUGAAUCAAGUUAACUCUAUUUAUGAAGAGAAUUUACGGUUAAACCAAAGGAUAAACAAACAAAACAGCAAGCAGGAGGUAAUGUACAUAUCUUCCUUUUAGAUUGGGGUGGCCAAACUAGAGGUUGGUUAAAAAGGGGCACACUUAGUAUCAAUAAAUAAUCUUCCUGAACAUCACUUAUCAUAUAUAAAAAAACUACUUUUACAAAAGUAUCAUACGUUUAUUUACAAUGCCAAUCCACAUAACUAUAAUUCACAAUCCUUAAUGGCUUUAGAGCGGAAGACAGCAUCCAAGAUUUCCAAAAAGAAAGCAAAGUUUUGACUCAUCACCCAAUUGGAUGGUUUUACACUUAGUCUCAAAGUCAGCCAGGGUGCUGCUGGAUCAAGAUUUUCUUCCACUCUUAAGAGUACAAGACAUGGUUGAGUUUCCAUGAUUUCCAAAGAGAAUGUCAUUUUUUGUUAUUUUAGAAAAGUGGAUUGCUUUUGGAUUUAGGCUCAGUUCAUCUUGAGUGGGCUUGGGAGCAAGAGCUGUUCAAUCAGGAUUUCUUCCAUUCUUAAGAGUAGAAGACACUGUUUUGUUUCCAUGAUUUCCAAAGAGAAUGUCAUUUUUUGUUAUUUUAGAAAAGUGGAUUGCUUUUGGAUUUAGGCUCAGUUUCUCUUGAGUAAGCUUGGGGGAAAGAGCUGUUCAAUCAAGAUUUCUUCCACUUAGGAGUAGAAGACAUGACUUCCAUGAUUUCCAAAAAGAAUGUCAAAUUCUGUCUUCCAGGAAAAGUGGUUUCUUUUUUAUUUUGCCUCAGUUAAUAGGCGUGGAUCCAGAGAAGAUGAAAGCAAUCCUGAAUCAACAGUCUCUUGCAAGGCAUGGCUUCCAUGAUUUCCAAAAAGAAGAACAUAUUUUGUAAGUGGACAGCUUUUCACCUCACUUUAGUUCAUCUUUCAUAGUCCUGAACUGGGAGAAGAUGAGAGUGUUGCUGAAUUAGGAGUGAUGUCCACUGAAUAGAAGAGGACAUGACUUCCAUGAUUUCCAAAAAGAAUGUCAAAAUAUGUCUUAGGAGAAAAGCAGACAGUGUUUCACUUCAAAAUGGUAAAAUUUUAAUGAAUAAACUGUACAGAUUACAGGGGGUCAGGUGGUUUAAGGGGCCCCUGCCACCCUGGACCAUUCAUUGGAGACACACCCCUGCUAGACAGUGAAAAUAACCCUGUUUGACUGGGUCUUUUAAGCUCUAACAGGGGUGUAUAAUGCCUUUAUUUUCAUCUCACGGCUUGAGAACGCCAGUCUUUCUUCUCCUACUUCACCGUGCGCACAGACUCCGAAAAAAAUAAAUGAAAACCCCACACAAGAGGAAGAAACCGGUGUUCAAAGUAAGAGCAGGAAAUAUGUUUACCAAAGCGCAACCCAAUUCAUAGUGACAGGGCACUGAGGAGAAGGUAACAGCGUGUGCUGCUGGAAAAGUUCAGAAGAUUUAAAAAGGUCCUUUUGUACCUUCAGUGAAUGUGAUUGAUGUCGGGCAGGCCCUGAGAAAGCAACCGGCUCAUCCAUUUUCUGUUUUCAGAGAAGGGGUGAUCAGGUUUUUCUUUUUUCUUUUAUUUUUUUUUCCAGGUUUUACUAUCCAGCGAUGUUGAAAAAAAGAUGCACAGGGUCUCCAGGGAGCUGGCAAUUUCAAUUUGCUCCGGGGAGGGCGUUCUUUGCAGACAACAAUAUACAAAUGCACUGCAGUGUAUUCCAGAGGACAUAAUGCCUGGGUAUCAUUCAAUCCUUCACUGCAUGUGUGCGGCUGAAGAUUGUGGAGGUCAGACUUGGAAUCGAUGCCUGGAUCAAUUCAGACUCUGCGUUUCAUUUAGCAGAAAUGCAGAGCUGCUCAUUGUCUGUUCGGUGGCCUUUUCUGAGGUGAUUUUUAAUCAUUGCAUUCGAGCCUUAUCAGCGGCUGAAGAGACAGGAAAUUAACUGCUUAGAAAAUAUUAGUCAACUUUGUCACGCUGCAUACAACUUAAUUGUGUUAUAAUCCCUCAAUGGUAUUUCACUUGUUGACACAAGACCAGCCAAUUAAUGCUAAAGUUAAACAAGCCCGGGGCAGUGUAAACAUGUACAGUUCUUUUAAGCUUUGCCACUGCUGUUAUCACUUGUGUACGUUUCGAGCGCGUGUGAGCUGCGGGGUCUUAAGUAUCGCCUGCAGAAAAGGGAAGGUGUUUCUGCCAAGACGGAAAUGAAUGUACAGUUGCAAAGAUUUCUGCCACCGUAGGAAACUCGCAUGUGCAUAAGCGAGCGUGUUUUUGAAUGUACAAAAGAUUUUAUUUUUCCCGCCAGGGCUUGCCAAGAAUUAAAACAACUUGAAAACGCUGGGAGCUUUGUUCUAAACGCGGCUGUGUUUAGACAGACAGCUGCAGUAAAGUGAAAAUAAGCAGCCUGCUUGUUCAUCUCAAGGAGACAACUAUGUUGGUGCAGUUUGUGUGCCAAGUCUGGUGAAAUAAAACAAUGGUAAAUACACAGUUUGUGGCAAUUUGUGAAAGUUAAGAGUCUUGAGAUGAUUAAAGAGGCAGGAAAAUAAUAAAGAAGUUGCUGCUACGGAGCACAAAUGCUGGGAAGGUUUCACCUGUAGCCACUGUGAGUAAAUAUUGUGUGUCAAAAAGUUGAGGAAGCACAUCCCACAUGUCUCUGUAAAGUAUUAAGCUUACCCGGCACUCAACAGCUCAAGUAAAUGGGAGGUGAGCAGGUGGACGUGCCAAAUACACAUGGUGAGAGAAGACCCCUAAGCUUUCUAAGUGAGUUGCUGCCGCAGGUGUUGAUGUUUUAGUCUUCAAAGGUCAACUUGAAGGUGGCUUCAGAGGCAAAGUAUGAAACCCAUUGACUUUUAAAGGAACAUUAACAUCUUAUUUCAUCAAUUUUUUAACUUAUAGCUUAGUUUCAAAAAGUAAGGAUGACUUGUAAAAGUUAAUAAAAUGUGAUGGUCUACAUGUUGUUUAAAACCCUUACUUUGAUUAAAAAAAAAAACUAGCACAGACAACAUAUCAAGUAGGUAUAGGUAUGAUCCUAUCCACUGUCUCUACUAGAAUAUUUUUCAGCAGCGGCGCUCCUAUGUCUGUUGGGAGGUUUGCUGUUACCCCUACUCUCUACACUCACAUUAUAGUACCUGCGCUACUUGCUACAUAGACUGUGUAUAAGCUUGAAUGUUACCCUUUAACAUUAGUGAAAGAGGGUCCGACAGGAUUUGACUCGCUCAUUGACGACUCAAAACAAGUCGUAAAUAACGUCAUGUGUUGUUGCGCUUACACAGUGCGAGUAGAAAUUAUUAGUGGCGCAUUGAAAUUAAUGCUACCAAUGCUAUUAAUGCUAUAUAGAGCGUGUAUAAGCUCGUUAACCUUCCACCUUAAGGGAAGAGGGGUCCGAUAGGAUUUGACGCGCUCGUUGACGACUGAAAACAAUUCGAAAAAAAAUGUCAAGUGUUGUUAUGCUAACACAGCGUGAGUAGGAAUCAUUAGUGGCGCAUUGAUAUUGAUGCAACUCGCUAUAUUGGGCAUGUAUAAGCUUGUUAACAUUCCGCCUUGAGGGAAGAGGGUGCGACAGGAUUUAACACGCUCAUUGACGACUCAAAACAUGUCGAAAAUAAUGUUGUUUGUUGUUAUGCUAACAAAGUGCGAGAAGAAAUUAUUAGUGGCGCAUUGAUAUUAAUGCUACGCAUGCUAUUGAUGCUACUCGCGAUAAAGAGCGUGUAUAAGCUUGUUAACCUCCCCCCUUAAGGGAAGAGGGUGCGACAGGAUUUGACGCGCUCAUUGACGACUCAAAACAUGUCUAAAAUAACGUGUGUUGUUGUGCUGGCUCAGUGCGAGUAGAAAUCAUUAACGGCGCACUGAUAUUAAUGGUCAUGUGAAAUUUCGGCAGUUGCGGCGCAAAGAAUUCCGCCGCUGCUGAAUAAAUGUAGGGAAAACACUGCUAUCAGAUUACAGAUAAUGGCUUUUGAGCUGUGCACAAACAAAGUGGGCGAUCUCUGUCGAGUGGAGUGUCCAUCAUUUCAAAGAUAACAUCAAUUACUUAUUUGUCAGACCACAGGUACAGCAGCAAAGUGUGUUCAUGCGCUGCUUUCCACUACAAAGUCAUGUCCAUUUUUGAUGUAAUGCCACCUACAAGCCUGGAAACCACCUUCUAGUUUCAGCCUCGAGCCUUUUGUACGGAAACUGGCCAUCUUGUAAUCAACGCAGUUUUCUUAUGCUCUCUGAAAAGUUGUUGGAAUCUAGUUAUUUUAUCCAAUACUAGUAUUUUUUUUCAAGCUGUUAAUAUUUAAACAAACACCUUACAGUACUAAGAUAACAUUUGGGCUCACAUUUCCCCUGUUCCCCAUAUUUUAUUCAUUACUUUGAUUUAUUGAACCCAAGGAAACUGAGUUUUUCCAAGAGAUCAAAGGAGCUUUAAAUCAUUUUUUUUAUCGUCUUUGAAAAUAUAUCCAAAGACGCCACGGCACAACUCAACCCCGUGAUUUGAUCCCUGUUUGUAUUCUGCACCGUCGUGGGCCGCAUCACCGGAAAUUGUGAGCACAAACAUCGGCGGUGGCGGCGGCGCUACAAAGAGGGGAAACAUCAAAGGCGGCUUCAAAAACACGACUCCACGGGAUGCGAGACAUUCCUUGUGACAAUUCACCCCUUAAUACCGAGCUCUUGAUGCAUGACCUACAGACGUGGCAAAGCCUUUCCGCAUGGGGGGCAUCAAAUGGAAAAGCAAAGGUCAAUAAUGGGCUUUUCGUGUUUGUGGAGGUAUACUGUAAAGAUGCAAACCUGCAGUUUGUGCAUACACUCCCAUAACGCACACAAACACAUUAAUACUCAUUUUCAGCAUGCGUAAAAGUCAAGAAAUAUCAAAUUAACCAUUCCACACCAAUAAGGAGAAUGGUGAAUGAUGAAGAAAGGGGUUCCGGAUCUUAAAUCCCCUUCAUGGGUGGCUUAACAAUCAACACACUCUGAAUGAAGGUGACAGCUGGAGUUAUAUUCUAGGAUUUUAUACGUUUAUACAGCGCCUUCUUUUUCCAUUUGACAAGUAAAUGUGCUCCCUCUGGAUGGGAACGCCAGAACCUAAACUAAUUUCCACAAUUUUCUAAAAAGGAUCAAAAAGAAAAACACUUAUAGUUUGCUUUCACUGCUGUUACCAUGGACACACUUGAAGAUUUGCUUAUUUUAUUUAUUGUGCAGUCGUUGAAGAGGCCUUUUAAAGUGUGUAUUCGCCCUAUAUAUCUUUUGUCAGUGCUGUUAUAUCAUCAAUCUGUUUUGCAACCCGUAAAACAGAAGAACAAUUAUCUCAGACUGAUGAACAAGCAGUUGAGCACAUUGUCUUUUGAUUUUCUUUCCCGUCGCCUUGCCACGGCUCCUCAGUUGGAAUAUUUCUUCUUCCACCGGUUCUUCAUUGAUCCGUCGAUUCCUUCAUCGGCUCGAGUGUGUUUCCCCAAGACAACACAGAGCUAAAGGACGCAUUUGACACCAUUACAGAGCCAAGGAGAGGUUGAUGCAUCAUGGCGGAGCGAGAAAUGCCAGCAGAGCUUCGCUUUUAUCCGCCGAAACCAGCUUGCACUGUUUUGGUUCUAUAAUUUUCACUCUUUAUCACGUAGUUUUCGGCCUUUUCAGUCAUGGUGGAUUAAGAUUCACAAUUUCUGGCUCAGAUCAGGCCCUCAUAACUAUUCCGGUGACCCUUUUUUUAAUCCUGAGAAGUGCUAUGGAUUUAUAACCCAUUGUGUGUUGUCUCUCUGUCUCAAUUGAAUCCCUCGAUGCACGGCCUUGGACACCUUCUGCAGCAAAUGCAGCAUACAGCAGAUACAAAUGCAGGAAAAUUCAUGAAAACACAUAUUUUCUUUUCACUGUCACUCUCAUUAAUGUGUCUAGUUGAGUGACAGCGAGGGGAGGCGGGUUAGAUGAUUGAUCAGCCUCGGUGGAAACAAACUCCAGCUAAUUGGGGUUUUCCAAGCUUGUCACAAAACGUUAAUCUUCUCCUUGUUUAACUGUUUUUAAGAUACAUACUGUCUGUGCAGCACUUUUACAGCAAUAACCAGAAAAGAGACUCACAUUUAUUUCCUCCACAGCACCAGAGAAGGUCACAUUGACAUGCACCUCUUCAAAUAUUUAACUAUAUAACUCUUAGCGCUGCCAAAACCUCUUCAUGACACCGUUUAGAGUAUUACCAGGCUGCAUUUAUUCUUAUUACAACAGCAGAAGUAGUUUCUGAAUAGAGAGCACCACCAGGGUCGAAGAACAAUACAGCAGCUUGAGGGAAUGAAAAAGGAAGUCUGCUAAUUUCAUAAUAGGUCUGCGGGAUCAGCACCUUGGACAGCACCACACAAUCCCAACAUUUCUGUGACUCUAUGUGGAAAUUAUUUUUGGAAAUCCUGGACAUGGUGUUAAAAAGAGUCGGUGCACAGGAUCCAAAAAAAGCACAGGCAAGAGGCUAAGUCAAGCAGUACUGAAAUGAGGUCAACACAAUCGCCAUGUUUACAUGGGCAAAAUUUCUUGAUCCAAUUAAAAAUUUGAGGCAUCAGAUAAUCUGAAUCCACUGUUUAUAUGGGUGCAAAAUCAAAUAAUCCGAUCAUGACGUACAACAAACACAGUAGUGUCUCACUUCAUCCAAAUCAGGAUUUUUCCCUAGUAAAUGUUGUCACUAGAUGGCGCCCUUGUGUACUUAUUCUACUGUUCUGUCAAAGGUUGCGCUGUACGUGCAGAUGUGACAUGAUUACGCUGUAUGUACGCCUUGUUACGUUACCGGAGGAGAAGACAUGUUUCCUGCGGUUGUGUUUUAUGCCAGAGUGUUAAUAAUGAAACCUCUAGUACUGACCUCAAUAAAUAAACCAAAGGUUAAAGAGUGAAGAUCAAGUCAGGUAAGAGAGUCACGAUCGGAAUAAGUGUUUACAUGGACGCGUUUCGGAAUAAUGAUCGGUUAUUCCGAACAGGCCUUUAUUCCGAUUAUUUGUGCCCAUGUAAACGCAGCUACUGAGGCAAACAAUAGGAAUAAAUGCUGGAACUCUGACGCUAAGGACAAGACGAACUGGCACAGAGGGGAGGCAAAGCUGGGUUUAAAUACACCAGGGUAGUAGAGUUAACGAGACACAGGUGAGACUAAUCAGGGUAAUCAGGGGAGCAGGUGACAAGGAGGAGGAAGUCAAUGAACCUGAAAGAAGUGACAAGGCUGAGUAUCAAAAUAAAACAGGAAAUACAAGAUAAGAAAUAUGAGGGAUGACAAAAAAAAACAAAAAAAAACUAAAGGGAUAUUCUGGUGUAAAAUUAAGUUCAGGUCAAACACACCGUAACACCAAUCUGAGCACCAAACAGAUUAAAGUUGUGUACCACUCGUGUAUUUAUGAGGAUUGUGGCACUGGACAUGUACAGAAGUGUUGCUGUCACAUCUCCUGGUUGGUUUAAGGGAUACUCCAGCGCAAAAUUAAGUUAGGGUCAAACACACCAUAACGUCGAUUUAGACACCCCCUCGAGAGAAGAAUGUUGCUGACCGCUUGCUUCUCUAUUUAUACCAACUUUAGUAACGACCGCAGAAGGCAAUACGGAGAGCCAUGUGCUCAACCAAAACGCCACUCUAUAGCCACAAAUAAUCUUCGGAACAGCACCUAACUUCAUCAACAGUACAUAUAGGGCCCCUGCCAUAGAACUAGCUACCAAACAUCUUUUUAACUUUGCCUAAUUUCUUUUGCAAAGUGACUAAAAUCAAUACUCCGAUCAAUAGAUAUCUGUAGUAAGAUGGUGCAGAUGUUUUAUCAUGGAGUAAUGAUCAUAAAUGUUCUUCCUUGAGCUGCGUAACCCCACUGUAGUCGAUGGACUCGCCCCUACAAACAAGUGGCUGCUGGAAGAGAGUAGGUGAGUCUCUUUGGUAAAGAAAUCAGGCAAAGCUAAAAAGAUUUUUGGUGGCUAGUGCUGUGGCUGGGACCCUAUAUGUCCUGUUGAUGAAGUUAGGUGCUGUUCUGAGCAUUAUUUGUGUCUAUAGAGUGGUGUUUUGGUUGAGCGCGUGGCUCUCUGUAUUACUAUUGUGCGGUCAUUCAACACACAAGUGGUACACAACUUUAAGCUGUUUGGUGCUCAGAUUGGUAUUUUUGUGUUGCAGUCGCUGCCUUCCUCAGGUGCCCCAGUGCUGACCCCCACUUUUGCUAACACCACCUCAGCCUUGUCUUGUCUGACUGCUAAAUUCGACUAACUCUUUUAAACGCAUUUUAGUGCCAGCUCAGUGCUUUAAUUUGACUGAUUCCCACCCUGAUAGAUUUAGGAGUGGGCUGGUUGAACAGUUUAAUGACCUCUACAUUAAGAGCGUACUUACCAAGAGGACACAUCCAUUCCGAUACCCUGCGCCAUCAAUUCAUUAACUCCCUCUGCAAUAUUUACACACAUCAUUUGUGUACAGAGCAAGCAAAAAAUGGAAGAAGGAAAAAAAAAAAGAAAAAAAAAAUCAGCUAUUCACAGCUGCGGGUGAGGCUGAUGGAUGAGGUUUGCCUCCGCGAGGGCGCGAAAGCACUCGGAGGCCUGCAGUGUGUGAUUUAACUGCGAGCAAGGGAAUGGAUUUCAGCCGCUCUGUAAUGGGGGGGCUGGGUGUAAGGAAAGGAUGACUUGGCUGGAGAUGAGAGUCAUGCACCCGUAAUGGAUGCCAACAGAGGGGGUAAUCAUCGCAGACACAGGAAUUAGUCCCAUCAGCGCUGGGAGACUGUAAAAUAUGUCAAACGCCGCAUAAUAAGUCAAGAAUUCCUCCAUUUUUACAAUCUCAGGGAGGGAUUUGAGCUUCAGAAGGAAGAUGUAGAAGGAGAAAUCCCAAAAUAGCUUCUGUUUGCUUUUUUGGUGUGCACCCUGUAGAUACUCAGUGAAAUAUAGGGAGUACACAAUGUGGCCAAUUACGCAGGCCUCUUGCUGAUAGUCGAAGCAUACAACAACAUCAAAUACAAGUUUUUGACAGAGUAUCACUCGGGACCGACUGUAUCAGUGCGCAUACAACCGCUAAUAGAGUUUUCAUUCAGACAGAAAUUUACCGUUCAUGUUUAGAUCGUAAACAGCUCCGUUAGCAUUUAGGUUACAAAUGAAUCCUUUCUUUUUUUGUGGCGUAUUCAAACAGCAGGCCAAUUAAAGUGAGAAGGUCACUGCCAGAGAGAAAAAGAGAGAAAUAUUACAAGAAAAGUAUCUCCUCCAACGUUUUUUUUCCCUGCAGUUUUCUUGUCUCCUCAGCUGGCUUAUUUCAACAAUGGGGAACCUGUCAGUCACUCGCUGAAAGGACAUCAAUGUGCUUGACUAGCCUGCUCAUCAGUGCGGCAGCACAGGGUGAAAUAUUCAUCAGGGGUCCUCGCACACAUUGAGAAAGCGGGAAGAAUCCCCCAGAUCAAAUUCUUAUUAGCAUACCGAGCCUAAAGAUAAUAUCUGUAAGAGUAUGAGCUUAAUUAUGAGUCGGACUUGUAUGACCAUUCACAGUCGGAAAGGUUUCCAACUGUAGCUCGAAACAGUCUGACUAAUUAAUGUCAGUUAAAUGAGGUCCGGCGUAGUUUUUUGAAAGGUAAUUAUAUCGUUUUACGAUUCACUGACCAUUUGUCACCGCUGAGUAUAAAUUAGGGUCUCGUCUGCCUAAUUGUGCCUCAGCGUAUUGGGCCGAACACAAAGAGAUGAAAGGAAGGUUCGAAGUUUCAGACGUAAAGGCUAAAGAGGAUAUGCCCGGGGGAAAAAGUAGCGAGUUGAAAGCAAAAGUUUAACAGCGAGCCUGUUAGAGCAAACCACGCCACACUCUGAGGUUUGAGAAACAGCGAGGCCGACGCCGUCUACUGUAAAGACCAGAAUGUGUGUCACACCAAUAAUCAUCAGUUUCUGGUCUUUUCAUCAUGAAGCUGUGAAAACGUCUGAUCCUGGAGGAUUAGACGGAUUUUCUCAGGAUAACGUCAGACUGCUUUGAUGUUAAUAAAGGAGCAGUACAAAGUUUAAGUUGUACGACUGAUCCUUUCACCUCUGUGAUGUUUAAGAAAACAGAUUUUAGCUUCUGUGUUUGGUUUUAUGAAUUUCCAAGAUUUAUCCCGAUAUUUAAUAAUCUGUCUGGAAACUCAAAUUGGUCGCCAAAUAAAACCAAACUCAUGGUAUUUUCGAGCAAGGGUGAGUUACCUGGGAACAGUCCCUCUGUUCUAACUUUGCAGGGUGUACUCAUUGAGCUUGUAUCUGUGUAUAAAUAUCUGGGUUUUCUUGCACAUAUUGCUAGUUUGGCCACUAAACUCAGAUUAAAACUUGGUUUCGACUACAUGAAUAAACCUGCUUCUCCCUCAGUGCUCAAAAAUACCUUGUAUCUGCUACCUUUCUUCCACUGUUGGAUUAUGGUGAUGUUUUAUAUAUGACUGCUUCAGCCAAAUGCCUGCAGUCCUUAACAACUGUCUAUCACUGUGCGCUGAGAUUCCUCACCGGUUGUAGUCACCUAACACAUCACUGCGAACUUUAUGCCAAGUCUGGCUGGCCUUUGCUGAGUACUCGCGGGUACACUCACUGGAUGACUCUAAUUUCUAAGGUUCUUCUUGGCUUAGCUCCUUCUUUGAUCUUCUUCAAAGGACUGAAAGACAUUACACCCUGCGCUCAAACAACACUAUCCAUUUGAUUGUUCAGCAAAUAAGAACUGAACUGGGCAAAAAAGUGUACUCUUCAGUACGUACUUAAACUAUAAUCCAUAAACGUAAGGUAACAACCAAGACCUAAUGGUGCUGUGACAGCAACGCCAUUGAGUUUGAGACAGUGAAAAUACAUAUGGUAUGUUGUAUCUGAACAGGUUAGCUUACAAGCUAAAGUUACUUAGCACAGAUGAAAGUUAAAACAAAGACGUUUAGCAAACUGUUAAAGCACACGAACCAUCAUCAUAUGAGAAAUCCGACACUAUGAUUCUCCACAAGUUGUCCUUCAGGUCGUAAUCUUUGUAAUAUUUGUGUCUUUUAUCAAAAAGCACUCUGUUCUCCGACACGUUAACAAUCAGCCAGUCAGCCAUGUUGGAUAUACCUGUGAAUCUGACGUCACAACAACACGAAAUCUGAUUGGUCAGAAGUGGACACACAGUAUGUGAAACUUCAGAAAAAUCGAAAUAAAUGCUGCAAUAUCACAGGAUGGGAAAACGUCACUGAUGUGAACGCUUGUAUUGACAGGAUACAGGUUCGAAAAAAAAUUAUUGACGUUCGAAAUAAUCACAAGAAGAAAACGGUCCCGGUGUGGCAGGAGCUUUAAUUUCGCUGGAAGCCUUUCGUUCAAUCUUACAUGACAGACUCGGGGAGACCAUGGGACAGUGCUUGUGUUUUUAAUUAUGUUUCUGGAGGUCAUUUUCUUCUUUGUUAUUAUUUAUCAUUGUGAUGUGUGCUGCCGACCUCUUGGCCAGGUCACUCUUGUAAAUGAGAUCUCGAUCUCAACCUGGUUAAAUAAAAAAGAGAAUAAAAAAGCUCCUGUAAAGGAACUUUUGGCACGAAACAGUCUUUGCCUAUAAAAGUGUCUAAUGUGAAACUGAUUAAAUCAAGACUGUCUCUUUACCCAGCUUAUGCAGUCCAAGUUUUCUUUUGUACAAACUUGUACAGAGUGGAUCAGAUCCCAGGUUUCCUGUUAUAGACUGGUUCCACUCGGUGGUUUCCCGGAAUGAGAAUUUCCUCCAUGGCAGGCGAGGUGGCUGCCGGCUGCCACCUCCACUGCCGGAAGAUGGGACAGCCUUUCACCUCAAGUCGUGCUAGGCUGGGUGCCCAUCAGCCCGGUGUCAAACCCCCAUUACUGUCUGAGUAUCAGCUGUCGGGGUGUCAAAAGGACUGAGAGGAGGAGCCACUCACUGCCGUGCUCUCACACUUUUGUUCUACUUCUUUUUCAUUUAUCUAGUCUUCCUCCCUGCCGGUGCCUGAUUUUUAAAGAUUGAAGGUCUUUGUGCUUCCUUGACAGUGACUGCCACUGGAUCACAUCACAUCCCUUUUACUUGAACUGUCUCCGAGGUGGAGUAAUAGAAACUCUGGAAACUUAAUGUUACAGCCGAGUGAGCUUUCUCCAACGGAAACUUAGGACUUUUUCCCAGCAAGAAAAGACAUAGUAUGGUUUAAAAAGUACUCUGAAUAUCAAUUUCUUCUUUAAAAGGCAAUUUCUCUUUGUAAAUAACUUUUUCUGUAGUGUAGACUGCUGUGCACUCGUGCGCCCUGUUGUCUAGUCCACUCACUCUACACCACGGACCCCGACGGGGAAAAGCUUAAUUACCAUUUGAUGAGUUUGAGAACAAAAGCUGCUGCGUUACAAGUUGAAAAUUGGUUAUCGGCUUCUUGUGCUGUUGCUAUAAUUUGGUCUUGGCUGUGUUCAAUGUUUCAGUCUAAAUUGUUCUGUCACUGGAGGUUAUGGGGGGGAAGGAAGAGGAGACCUCUGCAGAGACUGGAGGCCUCUAAUUAUUUCAUUCCUUUACAGCAGUGAAAUUCUCGAGUCGAGCAAGCUUGACAAGAGAACGGGGAAUAUGGCCUGAAUUACUAUCAGCUUAAGGAAAAGGCUGGUGUGUUAGUUAUCCGAGCAAAACAUCCAGUUUACAAGUGAUUAAAAAAACAAAUUACGGGUUAAACUGGGGAAUCCACACGGCUACCAGUUAAAGGAAAUACUCUCCAUUAAGGAAAGGAGUAAGUUAUGUACAUGUAGUGGAUAUACAGCCAAACAAUUAAUGUCACACUUCAGGAGGAGCUGCGUAUAAGACAUACACAUUUUCUUUUCGUUAGAGAAGAGGAACAGGGCUUCUGCAUAAAAGUAGUAAAUCAAGAAGAUUCUUUUUUUAACUGUUUUCAUUGUUUUAUUUUUGAGAGAUAAAAGUCACAAUUCUUGGUCUUAUCUCUCUGAAUUCAGCCUUGAAACUCUUCAGUGAAUAAAGUCACAAUUCUGGUUAAUCAAAAUAUGAUUAAAUUGAAUUCAAUUCAAAUUUUUUCCCCCCAAAAAACAAGUCAAGAUAUUGUCUGAAAACUCACAAUUCUGUUUUAAAAUUCAACAUUUGUGAAAUAAAAAAAUAAUAAUAAUUUUGCAUUUUACUCAGAAUUCUAAUUUGAAUGAAACAUUUUGAGCAAAGUUUGUAAUUUGACUGAUUUCAGUAUAUAAAACUGGAGUUCAAAAUCUUAAGAACAACUUUUUAUUUUUUUCAGUUAUUUCUUUUUUUUUUUUCUUUAAACUUUUUUACAGUUUUAUUUUUGAAAGAUAAAAGUCUCAAUUCUUGGUCUUUUCUCUGGUCAAUCAAACUAUGAUCAAAUUCAGAGUUUUUUUUUAUUUCCAAAAAAAACCUCAACUCGAAAUACUUUGAAGAAAGUCAAAAAUCAAAUUUGGAAAUUAGAAUUGGAAUUUGAAUACAAACAUUUUAAGAAAAGUUUGUAUUUUGACUCAUUUCAGUAGAAACAAUGUAGUUAAAUAUCUAGAGAACAAAUUUUUUUUUGUCAUGUAUUUAUUUAUUUUUUCAACUUUUUUACAGUUUUAGUUUUGAGAGAUGAAAGUCUCAAUUCUUGGUCUUAUCUCUCUGAAUUUAGACUUUAGACUCUUCAGUAGAUAAAGUCACAACGCAAUUCUGGUCAAUCAAAAUAUGAUCAAAUUCAGAUUUUUUUUUUUUUCCCAAAGAAAAAAUUGGACUCAAAAUACUGUGAAAAAAAUUAAUUUUGGAACUUAGAAUUGUGAAUUCAAUCCUUAAGUUUUGAGAAAAAUAUCACAAUUCUAAUCAAGUUAAAAUUUUGUCUAAAAACUCACUGUUCUGGUUUCAAAUUCAAAAUUUCUGAAAAAACAAAACAAAAAAAGAAAAAAAGGCUGGGGACGGAUCCAACAGUGAAAUCAUAAUAACAGCACUGUAGGCUGGAAAACAUGUAGUAUAGGCAAAAGGAGUCAAUAUGAGACUGUCAGAGUCCUCAAGCACAUGUGCAAAACAUUAAUUUACAGAUUAUGGCACUAAAGCUUGUCACUUAAUUCACUCAUACCAAUUUAGAGUUGACAUAACGAAGAUUGAACAUUGUGUUUCCAGUUGUUACCAGCUGCAUCUUAUGUGCAGCUUGGCUUUAAAUUCCUAUACUUAGAAAUGCUUUUACUGCAUGUCAACGCUUAAGGUCAGCCUCUCUUGAGUAAAAUGAAAAAUAAAAUCAAAGAACCUCAAACACACGGCUUUGAGUCGAGCAAAAAAGAACUAAGCCUUCAGCAAUUUUCACAGCCUACCACACUUCUAUUCUUAAACUUGCCAUUUCCCCGCUUCCGCCAAGAGCUCCCACCUCAGACAGCAACCCUGCUGUUUGACGCUAACAAAAGCUGAGAGAUGCCAGGUGUGAUGACAUGAUAACCACAGUCCAGGUCAGGCUGCUCUGAAAAUUUUUUCAAGGGUCACAAAUUAAAUUUAGACCCUCCUGGCUAUUGAGGAUGUGGGCUCCCACUGUGCAAACAGACUUAACUGUGACUGUCAUGUAGAUGUUCCCAAAGCCCUGUUCUUGUCACCCUUUCAUGAGAAGUUGAGACACCACAGCCACGAGGCCACUCCAUCAUCAGCUCAGGAUUUUUUACAGCAGAGGCAGACUGAAGCUCUGUGAUCUGCUUAAAGAGAGUUAUACUUUAGGUUUUUUAAAAUAAAUGAAUGCUCUUAAAACUGUAUAGUAGUGAGAUUCAGAGCCAGGGGCGGAUCCAAGGGGUGCCCAUAGCUCUGCUGAAAUCAGUUCGGCCACCUUUCGGCCACCACAAAACAACAGUUCUGUGGGUAGUUUUGGCCAAAUCAGCAUGUAAGCACACUUUUUUUUUAAACUUUUGUUGCCAUUUUCUUGCAGCUCUCUUGCAUUGAUACUUACAGUGGUGCAAAUAAGUCACGAAGGAAGUUACUGAUGCAAAAAAAAAAGAAAAAGAAAGAAACCGAAGCCUGCUGCAAAUAAAAACAGAAACUGUGCAGAUACAAAAGCCACAAUGGAAGUUAAGGAUGCGAAAAAAAAAUCAGUAACUUUCGUUGUGGCCUUUUUUAAAAUUUGCAUCCUUUUUUUUUCGCAGUAACUUUUUUUUUUGUUUUUUGUUUUCAUCACCACUUUUUUUGCGUCAUUGACUUCCAUUGGGUUUUUUUUAUUAUUUUUUGUUUCAUCCAUACUGUUACUUUUUUUAUUUGCAGCAGGCUUUGGUUUCUUUUUUUUCUUUUUUUUUGUAUCAGUAACUUCCAUCGUGGCUUUUUUUUAUUUGCAUCCUUUUUUUUCGCAGCAAGUAACUUUUUUUUUUGCAUCACCACUUUUUUGUGUGUCAUUAACUUCAGUUGUUUUUUUUUGUUGUUUUUUUUAACUGUACCAUUUUUUGUUUUUUAUUUGCAGCGGGCUUCGUUUUCUUUCUUUUUUUAAUGCAUCAGUAACUACCAUUGUGGUUUCUUUCUUUGCUUUUUUUUUUUUUUCAUUUUUUUAUUUGCAGCAGUGGCGGUUCUUGGCCACCAUAGAUACUUGAUCUGAACUUUUUGAUUUUGAUUGGAGCGCGGAGGGCAGCAAAGACCCCAAACAGAGAAGCAACAGUGAUGAUUCAUACAUUACUAUUGAAAUUAAAACUUGGCAUUGGUAUCAAGUUAUAUACUUGGCCAAGCUUGACUUUGUGGCCUGCCUGAACUAACACUAAGUUUAUAUUAUGCUGCUAAUAUACAUAAUAAAACCUAACUUCCCAUUCAAAUGACAGAGUGUGCUUCGUUUAAUGCAGGCACUGAACCUCAGUCUUGUGUUGAAAGUUAGUCCAACCCUUUUAUUUAAAGUUGAGGAAUGAUUUGGCAAUUUUACAAACAAUAAACUCACAAACUAUAAAGCGUGAAAUAGAAGGAAAUAAACUUCUCCCCUCUCUCUAAUAUAGCCUCAUUCUUUUGUGCACACUGCUGAAAAGCUUGAAAACCUUCUCCUCUCUUUGCCCUGCCAGCAGUUAGCCCCGGACAAGAAACUACUCUUCGCAUCAUCAGUCAUCAGGUAUUGAGCGUAAAAAUUCAUUGAGAUGCAGUAAGCUGCGAUAGCAACACCACAAUGGCAGCUGGAAGGGAAAGCUUACCAGUCAGUUUAUCUAAAUGAGAUUUUUAUUGAUUUUAAUGCUCCCUCCGGUUGUGUCAUCACACUGAAUCUGAGCUGCCUAGACUUUGAAUAAUGAAAGCUAAAAUACUGUGGACAUGAUGCAACUGGCGUUUUCCUUGUGAACAACCAAUUCGAGGGAUCAGGACUCUUCAGUUUGAGGUUUAAGGCGAUGUGUGGACACGUGUUUUAUAUGUCUUUGUAUUUUUGUUAGGAUUGCCUCUAUGAAUUGAACAACGGCUUUGUGUUAUCUCCUCACACUGCAGCUGGUGAGCACCAUCCCUUCAAACGUCUACCACUUUUCACUGGUAAUGAAAAGGUCACCCGAGCCGCAGUCACUAAUAAUGUUAGAUCGGCCAAAGUGAGCUUGAACACGGCUGGCAGAAUCAAAUCAUUCGAUCAUGAGAACUCUCGUGUCCAAGAACGUCCCCCGGCACUGUGUAGGUUGCGAGAGCUGCAGGCUAUAUGUCCUUCAGUUCACUCUGAGGAUUAUUGAAGUGAUUUUUCUAGCUGGUGGGAAGCACUAUCUGUACAGUACAUUUAGUGUAAAGGUGGUGAAGGUUGCCUCUGUCCAUCAGCUGCACAGUAAAACAUACACUUUGUCCUGAAGGUACAAGGAUUGCAACAUGUUGUCAGGCAUCUAAAUUCAACCUUUUUCUCCCAUUUGCAGUUCACAUUCAGCCUAACUAUGCAUGUGUCCAGGGCAGUGUUGUGCCCGAACACGUUCAAUGAGUGAUCAUUUAUGAACUCAUCCAUAGUUCAGGCAAACGUGAACGUAUUGUUCUUAAUAGGGCCCGACCGAUUUAUCUGCGAGCCAAUCAAAUCGGCCGAUUUAAGCCCGUUUGAGAUUGAUUAGUAAUCAGCCAAAACUCGCAGAUUUUCGCUAAUAUUUUCAGAAAUAAAAUGCAUAGAUUAAGAUCCGGUUUCACUUUGAAAAUGUUCCGCCAUUUGAAAAGUUCCCCGACUUAUCCUGUAGAUGGCGCAGCGACCUCAUGACAAUCUUCAUUCACUAACUACCUCACAGCACAGUGAAGUGACGGAUCUGAAGCAGGCAGCUCAGGGACACACAGAGGAGAGUGGUCAGCCUCAACGGUAAAUAAACCAGUUUGUGAAAUACACAAUAAGUCAACAAGUUUCAGUUCAACCCACUUCACGAUGUUCCCCGCUGUGCUGGUCUCGGUCACGCCGAGUUAACGGUGAAGCACCAUGUAAUAUGCAAGCUAAAGUUUACGUUAGCCAUCUGCUAUUAGCCUUGCUACACUGUUAGCCGUGCCAGUAACGGUAGAAUAAACAACAGUACACAUUACGUGAUCGAGCUACUUCUCUUACUGAGGCAGCUGCAUGUCUCCAGAUGAGACCGGACCGGAAAUAAGUAUCGUGAGUUAAGACGCAAGGGCACCGAUCGGCGGCGGAGGUGGGGGCGGGGUAGUCGAAAGCGCUUUUCUGGUCCGAGUUUCAUCAGUCGGUCUUCCUGUCGGCGUGAAGUGCAGUAGCCUACAGUAUAUCUACAGUAUAUAAAUAUAUUUUUUACAACUUCUUAAAAAAUCUAAAAAAAAAUUAGUGAAUUAAUCAGUAAUCGGAUGCAAAUUAUCAUCUACAUUAUAACAUAUAAAAAUUAAAAUCUAAUUGGCAGAGAUCUUUAGUUCCUGCAUUAAAAAUAGGCGGCGUGACUCUGUAGUAGAAGUCACUGCAUUGCCUCAAAAACUGUCUCUGAACACAGUUUGUUGUUGCAUGGUUCAUAAAUGCUGGCAGAUUUCUCAGACCAAGCCUCUUUAGGAUGGAUUGAGUGUAAGGUUCAGGUUUUGGGGUGACUAGUGUAGUAAUGCCAUUUUCAGGGGAGAUCUAUUAUUUAAGUAAGACAACGCCAAGAGACAAUCGAAGAGUUCGGGCCAAUAAGUGGCGGAAUUGUAAUCUACUUGCCUGCUUUUAUAGGUCAAGAUGGAAGAGAAACAUCAGCUAUGGCACACUGCCUGGUACCCAGUGGGUUCUAGGGAAAGGUCAAGCACCCCUGGGAAUGCACGGUUUGCCAUCAGUCUUGCUCCUUCACUUGACACCUCUGCUUUAAGGCUUGGUUGCAAAUCUGACCAACACCCAAAGAUACUGCAUAAGCACAAAUACUGGGAUAUAGCUCCUCUGCAUGCAAAACCACACUCUUAAGAGAAAUCUAAAUGAGGAAUAUCCACGUUCAUGUAUCUUUAAACUGGAACAUUUUCUGUCCAGAAUGCCCACUUGGGUUUUUCUAUGAAAUACCACUCAGGCCUGAGCUUCUGUGGGCACUGUCAGCUGGUUUUAAUGUUUUACAACGAUGUUUCAUUAGUAAAAGGAAAACUUUCUUUGUAUCUGCAAUGCAUGCAUAAAUAUUUCUUCACUAUGCAGAGCAGGGAGGAAAAAACCACCCUGUAAAACAGUUAUAUCUGCUUGUAAUUUAUGUCCUAUUAUUGUGCAGUGUACUGUCCAGAACAAAUUUCUCUAAAAGUGCAUUUAUUCUCCUCGCUACAAGAUUAGCAUGUGCAGCGUUCUGGCAAGAUUAUAAAUUCAAAUGUCACACUUUGCAUGUUGUAGUUUAAUUCUAAAUCAAAUUAAGGCUAUUUAAAUCAGAGUCACAUGCAUAAUAAUGAUGCUGUCUCAUAUUUUAGACUCAAUUAAAACAAACAAGAGGGGACCACAGAGAAAGCCAUAAAUAUUGCAGUUUGUACUCACGCAAUUGCAUCACUCUCUUCAUCCCCUUUCUUGCAUACAUAUCCGCUGCAUGACAUGUAGCACUUGUCCAUAUGGUAAAUAUACAACUUGAUCAUUGCGAGCGCAGCUGUGGGUUCAUCAUAAGUGACACGCACCCUGCUAUUAGAGUCUAAGGGCUCCUAAGAUGGUGGGGAGUCUUUUAGCACUUGAAUACUCACUUCACAGCCAAACAUGUCGCUGAAAGGGUGCUUUAGUCCCCACCGACACGCUUUGAGUGCACAACUCUAAUUAAGCUUUGGCAUAGCUGUGAUUUAAUUACAGUUAAUGUUGUUCUGAGUGUGACGACCAGAUCUUCUGUCCUUUAUUGUAGGUUGGCAUUUUAAUAGCAGGUGGUCACAUGCUUAUACGUAGAUAUGGUUUGUUGUCAGCUAAUGUGCUUUUCAUUAAUCAUAUGAAUACAUAUUAAGAGAGAUGAAUUAUUUAAUGAUGUGACAAAAGUGAACCAAAGGGCUGGGGAAAAUCAAGCAAAUUUGCACAGAGCAGAUAAUUAUUUUAAUUGAGUUAUGAAGGGUAUUUAUUAAUAUAACUAUUGUUAUUUUAAUUUACGUGAUUCACCACAUGUGCAGAGGUUAUAGUCCUCCAAUUCAGCGUGAUUCCCACCCUGAAAAUCAUCCUCUGUGCUCAUGAAGAUAUAAUAAGGAUUUGUCAUAUGAGCUUGAAUGCAUGAUCUAUGGCUCCACAUGCUGUUAUUAACACUAUCUGGAGAUGAGGCCCCCCAAGUGUGACCAUUAUAAUUUAUUGUCGACUGUAGGGCUGUUGCAGUUUACUGGUGUUGACAAGCAGCAGACUGCCUGUGAACAAGAUCGAAGCAGCUCUCAAAGAGAUGACUCAGCGCUUUCUAAAAAAAAAAAAAAACGGAAACGUCAUGAUUUGUUGUAAAUGUCACAUUUCAGCAUGUGCCUGUUCAUGUGAGGAAUAUGAACUAUCGAACCAUUCUUUUAACUGUUUCCAGUUCGGUCAUGAUCUGUCUUAACCAGUUUAUACUUCAAAAUAAAAGCCCAGUUUUACAGCGCAACAAAUAAAGCAAACAAGAUUGAGAAUUUUCAAAAUAAAAGCUUGCCAAACAAUUAUUUCAUGAGAUAAUAUCUACUUAAAAUAAGUUUCAGAUUUUAAAAUUAAGCGAUUUUAGACAUGAUAAAAAUUCAAUAAUAACAUGGUAAUUAAGUGUGAGUAAACUGACUGCCAUUGUUUGGCUUUAAAAAUCAAUGGAGCUAGCUCAGUGAUGAAAGAAUAUCCUCAUUUAAAGUCAAGCUCAUCUUCAGGAUUUGAAUUGCAGAUGUGAUAAAUAACCAUGCCUGCAAAAACGACUUUAAUUGAUUUCACGCCAUGUAGAAUAACACAGCUAAACACCGUCCUUGGCAUGCCCACCCGUCAUGUUUUUAGCAUGUUCACUCCCCCCUAAUUCCCCUCGUGGGAUUAGCCAUGUGUGUGUUAGCGCACGCCCAGGACUUUCACUAAGACAAUAGGAAUAAAAUUACAGGCAAUUUAUUCACUCUGACACAGAUCAAACAAGGAAUGUGAAGUACUUCAGUGGAUAAUAUCAUCAAGUUGGGGUUGUCCUUGCGAAGGGAUAAACAAUUAAAUUAGCCCCUUGGUGCUUGUUAAGUUUACAAUUUCAUUCUGUGGCUGAAAGGAGAAUUAGGUAUUCAAGACAUGCACCAGAGUCGAAAACACAUCGGAGAGAGAGUCUCUGCCCGAAGCACACUGACAAAAACAGUCUGCUCGGUUGAUAUUUAGCUCUAUCUCGACUUUGAUAAGAUCCAAGCCUUCUUAUCCAGUUAUGUAAGGACAAUUUCCAAGAACUUGAAAGUGUGUUUUAUCAAUAAUUCUACACUGAUUCAGUCAGGAAUCUAUUUUAAACUAGAUCCAACAUGAGAUAGUGGAGUGUUAUCAUGCUUUGGUCACAUUAGUUUUUGCGUAUGUGCCCUCUUUAAAUCAGAUUUUCAGUUCUGUUUUAUAUUACUUAGUAUCUUUUGAUUUGACGUUUGGAUUAUUUGGCAGCUUUGGCAUUAUCAGAGAGCCAGAAUGUUAUCUUUUACCAAUUUAAAUCAAGUAGACAGAUGUGAUUCUUAGUCUUUGGUGCAGAUUUUAAACUAUUAAAGGCAAAAAGUCGGUAAUGGACCAUUCAAGGAAAUCCGGGGUUAGGUUUUGGACAUGUUUGACACAUUAAAUUGCAAAAAAAUACAACAUAAAAAUCAUGUUUCUUGUAGAAUAUCUGCUCAGUAUCUCCAACCAGAACAACCCACUACACAUGGGAAUAUUUUGGUAUUGCUCCCUUUCUCAUGCUGUUUCAGAAGACGUCAUGUACACAAAUAACUAACAGGAAACGAUGUAUGUAUGUCAACCAGAGUAAUUCCCAAUAAUCUUUGUCAUCCUUUUUGUCAGUGCAAUGUUUGACAUUUGAAAACUGCAGUAAUGGGCACCAAAGCUCGAGGGAACAGACUGAAAACAUAAAAAAGCAGAUUUAAUACAGGAUACAAUCUAAUUGCCUGAGUUGCCUUAGGGGGAUGUCAAGGUUGCAUGUAGCUGCUUUGACAAAAACCCCAAAACAUCAGCGUGUGUUCUUGUCAUACAUCCAUGAAUUGGGUGUAUGAAUGAAAAGCUGGGCAGGGGGAAGGAAUCACCACGAGACCUCUCCACAGUAUGGACGGUAGACACCUGGUAAAGCCAGGUGUCCACGAACCAGCAGCUGGGAUGAAGCAGGAUGUGAGCCAGGUAGUGGCUGCAGGGUUUAGUUUAAGUACAGGAUGAACAUAUGAUAGCAAGCCUUGUUAGGGAUCAGAUUGUAGUGAAAUGGAGGCGCACAGGUGUUUGGAUAUGUGACUGCUAACAUGCAAAUAACAACCGACAAACUGCAAUUUACUUUUCGGUUUUUCUUUGCUCGUGUUUUAAAGUUUCAUACAAAAAAUCAUCAAUCUUGUCGCUGAUGUUCCUGUUUGUUUCUGUUUAUCAUGUAAAGGCAUCGAUAUGAAUUUAACCCGGGAUUUCCACCACAUCCAGAGCGGCACUGAUCUGGAACGGCAGCGAUUUUCACCGUACGCCAAUUCCAACCAGAUCCGCUUGUGAGGCGAAUUUCAUGGCGGAUUACGGGCAGCAGGAAUCGCGAGAACUCACAAGUACCCGCAAAUUCAUGUGCAAUCGCGCGAUAUUAACUUGUCUUUAGCAACGUAGGCCAACCAUAUAUGCAGUAGAUUGUGUCCGUAUGCCAAUUCCAACUAGAUCCGUUUGUGAGGCGAAUUUCUUGGUGGAUUACGGACAGCAGGAAUCGCAAGAACUCACAAGAACCCACAAAUUCACAUGCAAUUGCGGAAUUACAAGUCAUCUUUAGCUACAUAGGCUAACCAUAUACGCAGUAGAUUGUGUCCUUCCAGAGGAGGAAAUCUACUUGUAGACUUGUAAAAUCAGUAUCUCCUCAUCCAUGGUGUUAUCAGGAUAAAAUGCUGUCAAUAAACCUUUCACUUGUUCGUCUCCGCCCGUUCGCAUGGUGUGAAACACAAUCCGCCUGAUACACACCGUGUUUUAUUUUGAAAAGAAGCCGAAUGUUUUAUUUUGAGUCUGUGCCCGACUUCCUUCCCAGCAUGGACUUAAGGUUUUUACACACCAGGAGUGUUUUUGUCGUGCGAUUAUUUCGGACGUCAAUAUUUUUUCUUCGAACCCGUAUCCUGUCAAUACAAGCGUUCACAUCAGCGACGUUUUCCCGUCCUGCGAUAUUGCGGCAUUCAUUUUUUCAGAUCACGGUAGAUUUUUCUUAAGUUUCACAUACUGUGUGUCCACUUCUGACCAAUCAGAUAGUGUUGUUGUGACGUCUGAUUCACAGGUAUAUCCAACAUGGCCGACCGGCUGAUUGUUUACGUGUUGGAGAACAGAGUGCUUUUUGAUAAAAGACACAAAUAUUACAAAGAUAACGACCUGAAGGAGAACUUGUGGAGAGUCAUAGUGUCGGAUUUCUCAUAUGACGAUGGUUUGUGAGCUUUAACAGUUUGCUAAACGUCUUUGUUUUAACUUUCAUCUGUGCUAGUGUAAGCAAACGGUUGUUACCAUAGUUUCAUGUGCUUAUCUUAUCGCCUCUGAUUGGCUUUAAGUGCUGACUGUUUGGCUUGAGCAUGUGAUGACAUUUCCAGCUUUUCUAGCCAAUCAGAAGCGAAGGAGGCGGGACUUUCCCCGGGAAAAGUCUUCCCCGGGAUGCGUCUUUCCCCCCACGGAUAGUCCCAAAUUUGCAUUGGGCUUGAUGUGGAUAGUCAAUCGCGUAAAAAUUUGCCUCCGAAUAUUUCAUAAGGACCCUAAUCUGUGCUGAAUUUAUGCGGCGUGCUCUGGCAUUCGGAAAAAAUAGAACUCUUACGAUCAGCUGAGAAGUCCAGCGAUCUGCAGCGAAACGGAAAGAAGCCAGUAGAAAUUGACACAUUAACUUGAAUGGUUACGAUCAGUUACAAUUGGCGAAUACGGCCUUUUCGUAACUGUUCCGGUUGCAGUGGAAAUUGCCAGUAAUUCUGGUUUAGCUUUAAAACACUGAAGAACAAACAGAGGAGGAAUCCCAAACAAUUGUCAACAGUGUCAGUGUAACCCCCUAAGUGGGUAAUCCUUUUUGGACAAAUCCAGUGGACUCCUGUAAUCCCUGCCUAACUCUCAGCUGGCCGGCCCCAUGAGUGCCGUUUUAAAAUAAAAACCCUUCAAGAUUGUCCCAGUAAUCCUCGUAUCCUGUCCUAUUACUGCCACUUGUUUCGGGGGGGAUCGGCGGUUUGUUGAAGGUUGUGUUUGUGUGUGUCCUCUUUGUAUCCCACCCUUUAGCACUUGAUAUCAUUUUGAGGAGGACUCCAAACUUCACUUGGGCUUUAUCUCGCAAUGUGUUUUACGGCAUUGUGCGAUAUGCUAAUAAGUGAAAAUGGGGGGACAAUAUUAUCAAAGUAUUAUGUAUCUCAUUCACCCAAAAUGUUCAUUAUUCCAAGGGCUGCUCUAUGCAAUCACCAGCAGGCAGAUGGAUGAAAUUAAACUCCUAAUGAUGCCUCCAAUGUGUAUUAAUUAUGUUAUAACAAGGCUUUGUGUGACUUCAAGUGCAGUGAAAUGACUGAGAAUAGCAUUUGAGCCUUUCAAUUAGCGGCUGAAAAGAGGCCUUCGCAUUCAGUGUCGACUGCUGCACGCUGGGGCCACAUGGGCCUGAAAUUCAUUUACGGUCUGAAUAAAGAAGUUGUUGCCCUAUCUGCUUCGGGCGCAGCUGUAUUUGAUACGCACUCUGGACUGACCAAUUCAAAAGAGAAAUUAAAUAUCCACCUCAUUUUGUCAGAAUUGGGACAGCGCUCACAAAACUAGGGGACUCUGAUUGGGGCCAAAGUCUCUAUUUUGCAGAAUGUGUUGGUGUGUUAGUAAAGAGACUCACACACUGAGAUCUUCCCUGGCAGUUCGUCAAAAUUGGGUAUUGUGGUUCAUCUCUCUAAGGGCGAUAGAUAACAGAUAAAGACCCUGACACAGAUUCCUCAUAAGACACUUAUAAAAACGUGUGUUUUUUUAUAACAUUAAACAUUUUUUAAGGUGAUUGAAUUUUUACAAAAAAUUAAAAUCAAGACCAGUUUAAAGCUCCUGGUGGGAUUUGUGAAACUGUUCCUAAAUCAAGCUGAAAUGUCUACUUUUACUACCUUUCUAUGCGACAUACAGAUCAACCAUUCUUAAAGCUCCAAUAAGGACAUUUUGGUUUAUGUUAGUUUUGGCGCCCCCUGUUGGCUACAGGAGUAUCAUUUAACAAAAACUUAGGUAACACUUUACAAUAACCCUGACUUAUAAAUGGUAAAUAGACCAUUUAUAAAUGGUAAGCAGAUAGUUUAUUCAUGUUUAAUCAUCAUUUAUAAAUAGGACAUAGACCAUUAAUAAAUUGUAAAUUUUACAAUUUUAAAAACCUAAACCUAACCCUAACCCUAACUUUACAAUAACCAUCUAAGUAAAGUUUAAUGGUGGUUCAUAAACCACUUGUUAAUCAUUUACAAAGUAUUACAAAGAUCAGUUGCAACUUUAAAAUAACCAUCUAAGUAAUGUUUGUAGAUGGUUUAAAAACCAAAUAUUCACCAUUUAUAAAGUGCUACUGACACACGUGUUAAUCUAGAUGUUUUACAACUAAUAUUUAAACCCUAUAUAAACCUUUAAUCAAUAUUGCAUUAACAAUUAGUGAAAAUUAUUAAUCAUAAUUUUAAUGCUUGUUAAUGAUCAAGAAAAUAUUAACUUAGAUGAAUAACAUAUUUAUUUGCCAUUUAUAAUUGGUCUAUAUGCUGAUUUUAAAUGAUGAUUAAACAUUAAUAAACUAUCUAUUUACCAUUUAUAAAUUAUGGUUAUUGUAAAGUGUUACCAAAACUUAAUCCUACUAAUUUUUGCCGGUCAAAUUCAUCACUUUUUGUGAAUAAUUAAUAUUAGAAAUGUUAAAACACGACUAUCUAUUUAGAAGCUUCACUUACACCUAUCCCCUCUCACUGGUUUUAGGUGUUGAAAAUUCCAGUUUAAAAUGCAUAAAGUUUGUUCCCGAUGGUCAUGUUUGCCUCUGUGUGUCAUCAAAAGGCAUUAACAUAAAUUUCUGUUUCUUUUUUAAGUGUUAAAAAAGUUCCCAGAUGAGCUUUAAGUCAUUAUUUUUUAUUACCAAAACAACUCCCAGAGGGAGGUUAGCAGUUUUGUGUGUAUAAGAAGUGCAUACAGUUUAUUCUCAUGUCAGGGUAAGUGGCAACUCCUGGCUAAAAUUAUGCAAACUCCACUCAUGAGUGGUCCUGUGAAAGCAGAACUCUCUGUCAGGGGAACUUAAUUUUAGCAAGACUCCAGUUUGAGCUACUUCUUUGUUCCUUUUUGCAAUUUCACCCUCAUUUCCCUAAUUGUUCAAGGGUUUCCUCCCAGAGACUGUGUCAGUGGCCCUUCACUAAUCCCCUGACCCUCCCUCGGUUUAUUGAUUUCCUUUGCUUGGAGUCUUAAUUUUAAUACUCUACCGGCCUCAGUUUGUUUGUGAACCUUUUGCGACACUUUCUCUGCUUCUCCUUUUGUACUUUAAAUGACUGUUGGGUCCAACAUGAUUACAUGGUGUUAUGUAUAAUCUAAUAAAGCUGAUUAUGUUGAUUUGAUGCCAAGAUUGCUUGAUUAUUGUAAUCUGUUAAAGCCUCGAAAUAAUACCACUGGUUUCAUAAAGGUCACAGAUAAAUAACUGAUUGGCAAUGGAUACAAAUAAAAAGUUAAAGUUAAAGGUGGGGUAGGCAGGAUUCCGUUAAUAAAGCAUCUUUUUUUGUGGUGUAUAUACAAAAAAGCUUUUAAUAUCAGUCAAUAUAUCAGUCAAUGUAUUUUUUUGUUCUAUUUUGCAGCUCUUUCCUGACUUUCUUUUUAAUUCAACAGUAUAUUCUCUCGACUGAGUCAGCCCCUGACUCACCUUUUGUUAUAUUGAUCUCCUCGACUCUCAGUAUCAACUUGUAUAUUCCCCUGUUUGAGUUUGUUUGUGCUCCAUCUCUUAACUCUCCGGUUACUUCCUGUGUUCCUGCUCCACUUCUCUCCCCGCUUCAGCUCCUGUUGAUUUGACAUACUUGCAUUGGAUUGUUGGUAACACAAUAGAGGCAGAUUAAGUUAAUUUCUUUUCAUUAUAUCGACUGUCGUCUGCUACAGCCUGAACUGUAACUACGGCUGGGAUAACACCGGAUCACAGGUUGCUUAUAAAUUGUAGUAGAUCAUUCUGGUUCUGAUUAUGAGUAUGAGAGACAGUCAAUUUCAAUUCCACUUUCUUUCCUCACUUUAUUGACCAAUACGAUGAUUUUUUAAGAGCAGUUCUUAUUGAGUCUGCUUUAGCAAUUUUUUUACACAAUCAACCAGCACCGGUAUAACCAUUCUCCUCCUUUUAUAAAUUCGCUUUAUUGCAAUUUUCACAAUAUCUCUGUUGAGCGAGGCUUUUAUUGUAUCAGAUAUUUCAUUUUAGUAGCUUUUAACUGUUAUUUCCCAUCUAUUUUUCUCACAGAGUGCGCAGCUACUGCGAUUCUCUUCAUAUUUUUGUGAAUAUACAGUAAAUAUCGUAUCACACCUGUGUUUUGGAAAUCUUAGUAAUUUUUAGGAUGAGUUUCCAUCGACAUGCAAUUCAAUUUGACACCAGAUCUGGAUCAUAUAGUGUCCUUUCAAGGCCAUGGAUCAGUAACUGUGAUUCCCACUUUAAAGAUGAUGGAGUAAUGGGAAAAUUAAGGUUAAUUUUCCUCCUUAAAUGUCAACAAAAGCUUGUGCACGGUCCAUUUGGUCUGAAAAUAGCCCAUCAUAGGCUCCCAUUCCCUCCUCUUUUUCACCACCCCCUCAUUAAAGCCGGCUUCAGAUGGGAGCGUGUUUGCGACCUGACAGCAACAACUCACAUAAGCCGUUUGUUUUCUCUUUUACUCUUUCUUUGUGAGUUUUACCCAAAAUCAAACCUUAAACUAUCAGUUCUUGAAUGACAAGCGUCACUAUUGAUUCUUUAUAGGAAAAGUAAAGGUAGUGUGUGAUCUACUGUAAGUUAAAACUAAUACACAUGUACAAUAAACGUGUAAAAUGUUCUAAACUGAACAGGCUGUUUGCCACACAUAUACAAGAGUGAUUCUGGGGGUUAAGCUUUUCUAAAAAAAUAUAUUAACAUUAAAAACAGAUCCUGGAUUUAGGCCUAAAUCUGCAUGUUGUUCUGCAAAUGUUAAUAUCAGCGUUAAUAUCAAGCUAUCAAGCAGCAUACCCACAUCCUCUGGUAACCCCGCUGAUCAUUAUAGGGUGUAUGAACUUAAUAACAGGGUCACACGGCAGACUAAUUGUCUCUGAUGUGACAGUCAGUGUCUUCAACAGAGUAUUGGCUCACAAUACAGAAUUACUGAUUUUAUCUUCAGCUAUUUUCUUACCAAAAAUAUGUUUAGUAAAACAAUUUACCUAUUCUUUUUUAAUGAGAAUGAAGUUAUUGUUAAAUUAUUAUAAAAUGUUUGACUAUAUUAUUGUUAGAAAAUUACUCCCCCAAAUAAAUUACCCUGAAGUUUCUUACAUACCGGGAGUGUUUUUUCAUGUGACUCGGACGUCAAUACUUUUUUUUGAUCCCGUAUCCUGUCAAUACAAGCGUUCACAUCAGUGACAUUUUCCCGUCCUGCGAAAUUGCGGCAUUUAUUUUUUCAUAUCACAGUCGAAUUUUCUUAAGUUUCACAUACUAUGUCCACUUCUGACCAAUCAGAUUUCGUGUUGUUGCGACAUCUAAUUAACCGGUAUAUCCAACAUGGCCGACAAGCUGAUUGUUUACGUGUCGGAGAAGAGAGUACUUUUUGAUAAAAGACACAAAUAUUACAAAGAUAACGACCUGAAGGACAACUUGUAGAGAGUCAUAGCGUUGGAUUUCUCAUAUGACGAUGGUUUGUGUGCUUUAACAGUUUGCUAAACGUCUUUGUUUUAACUUUCAUCUGUGCUAAGUAACUUUAGCUCGUAAGCUAACCUGUUCAGAUACAACAUACCAUAUGUAUUUUCACUGUCUCAAACUCAAUCGUGUUGCUGUCACAGCACCAUUAGGUCUUGGUUGUUACCUUACGUUUAUGGAUUAUAGUUUAAUGUGCUUAUCUGGUACUGGCCCCGACUCAGUCCAUGCUAUCAUGACAGACAGACAUCUCAACACUAGUGUCUAAUUAGAACUGAAAAACAGUCAGUCUGCUGUUGUGUCAGUCUUCUCACUUCCACCCGGGAUGCGUCUUUUUCCCCCCGGAAAGUCGAAAAAUCGCAUUGAGCUUGAUGUGUACAGUCAGGCACGUCAAAAUUUGCGAUUUCAUGAUUUCGCGUCAUAUAUUUGCAUCGUUCCAGAUGUGUAAGGACCUUAAUACUUUCACUUUACCUCAAUUACUCUUUUGCGAUUUCUCCUCCAUUCAUGACUUAAGAGCAUGCCGAGUCCCCUAUGUUCUCACAGGCUGAUAUUUUCUGAGGCUGACAUGUGCAAAAACACUUUUUCUUGAACCUUCAUGUCUUGGUUUUAAGACUGCUUGAAUGGCAGUCUAGUUAUAGAUUUUUUAAACAAGAUUCUUAAUACGACAGCAAGUACACUGAAUAAACUGUAAUUUCAGCACCAGCCCUGAACUUUUGCUCAGCUUUCAUUGUACAUAUCUAUACAAAUAACUGGAUCGAGCGGCAAAGUAUCUAAGUUCAAAGGUUCAGUAUUUUCCUUUAACUUUGAGUACAGAGUAAUCAAAAGGAGGAGAUUUAAUCACCAGUUCUCCAAAGAGUUGAGUUCGAGCAGUUUAGUUCCUCUUUUUGACUUGUAGCAGUAUUAAUUUACAAUGAAUUAAAGCAGAAGAAAUCACAGGCUGAACAGGAAUUAUUUACAUUAUCUCAAAUGUUUAAAAAAAAAUUAAAUUGCAGCUUAAAUUCAAUCCCCCCCUCCCGUGAUAAUUCAAAAAACUUAAUACUUUCCUCAAACUUUUCUUUAGAUUGCAGACACUGGGGGUAAUUUCUCAUCCUGCUGGUAAUAUGGAGCCAGAGGAAUCAUAUUAUAUCUGAGGGCAGUGAGGCAAACCAUCAUUUGAAUUCUCUUUAAUAAGAAGCAGACAUGGCUUAAUUGCUGCUGUAGUUCAAACAGAAAAAAAAAAAGAGGACCCAAUUUUUCUCUUGCUGGGGGUUUUGUUUGUUGCUGACAAAGGCCGCAUUAGCUGUGAAACAGCAGUUUCCGACAACAGCAAACAAACAGGGGGGUGUUGCCACAGAGCAAAAACAAGCCAAAUUUUUGUAUUGUGCUUUGGGUUACGCUUCAAAGGUACUAUCUCUAACAAGCUUGAACGCUUUGAACCUCUGUGAGGCGAGUUUUUUUCAUUAAACACAUAAAAAAUCAGAGGGAACAUAAGUUGACAUUUCUGUUUGUACCCAUGCUAGUAGCAUACCGCAAGAGUAAAAUAUAUUGGUCUAUUGCUUGGUAACAGACUGAAAUAUCUCAUGACCAAUUGAUGCAAUGAGACUCUCUACACUUAUUAUGGGGUGUCAAGCACUUUCCCCUAAAAGUGCUUGACGCGUGAAACUGAAUAAACCUUUACCGUACUAAUUACCCCCUUUUUUCCUCUCCAUAGCACCCAUAGUAUCUGCAGCACAUUCAUUAGCAUCACAUCAGUGCUUUAGCAUAAAAUGCCGGAAUAUGCCUUUAAGCGUUAAAUGAACUAUCAUUAGAUUCAGUACCUUCACCCAUGUUCCUUUGGGCGUUAUUGUGUGAAUGAGCUCUUCAUAAGUACAGAUGUUCAAACCUGCGUGGUUACUUUGGAAUGAGCUGUAAAACUGUUUUGGUCUCUUAGAUUUACAGUAAUAUACCGUAUAAAUCAUCACGCUCACAUUUUAAAAAAAAAUUGAUUUUGACAAUAAAGUCUUUUUUGUACAAAAUAAAGGAAUUGUAAGAUUAAUAUUUAUAUGUAUUUAUAUAUUUAUAUAUAUAUUUGACUUUGAAAUUAGUUAAAACUGCUUUGGUCUCUUUGAUUUACAGUAACAUCCCGUAAAUCAUCAUGGUCACAUUUAGGGAAAAAAAAAAAACCUUAAGAUUUUGACAAUUAUGUCCUUUUAGUACAAGAUUAAGGAUUUAUAAGAUUUAAAUGAUUAAUAUAUAUGUAUGUAUUUUACUUUGAAAUGAGCUGUAAAACAGCUUGGGUCUCUUAGAUUUACAGUAAUAUCUUGUAUAUUACAUAACAGUUACUUUUAGAAACACAUUCAAAUUUUGACAAUAAAGUCCUUUUAGUACAAUAUUUAAGAUUUAUAAGAUUUACAAGAUAUAUAUUUAUAUAUAAAAAAUUUGCUUUGAAAUGAGCUGUAACACUGCUUCGGUCUCUUAGAUAUACAGUAAAAUCCCGUAAAUUACUUCACUGUCACAUUUAGAAAAAACAUUAAGAUUUUGACAAUAAAGUCAUUUUAGUACAAGAUUUAAGAUUAAUAAGAUUUAUUAAUAUAAAAUUUACUUUGAAAUGAGCUGUAAAACUGCUUUGGUCUCUUAGAUUUACAGUAAUAUACCGUAUAAAUCAUCACAGACUCACAUUUAGAAAAAACAAAGAUUUUGUCAAUAAAGCCUUUUAAGUACAAGUUUUAAGAUUUUUAAGAUUUAUGAGAUCAAUAUACAUAUAUUUUACUUUGAAAUGAGCUGUAAAACUGCUUUGGUCUCUUAGAUUUACAGUAAUAUCUCGUUUAUUACAGCACGGUCACAAUUAGAAAAAACAAAGAUUUUGUCAAUAAAGCCCUUUAAGUACAAGUUUUAAGAUUUUUAAGAUUUAUGAGAUCAAUAUACAUAUAUUUUACUUUGAAAUGAGCUGUAAAACUGCUUUGGUCUCUUAGAUUUACAGUAAUAUCCUCUAACUUACAUCAUGAUCACAUUUAGAAAAACACUAAGAUUUUGACAAUUAAGUCCUUUUAGUACGAGAUUUAAGAUUACCAAGAUUUAUAUGCGUAUAUGAUUCCCUUCGCUAAUGUCAGUGGUCCAGAUUCUUUCCUAGGAGUUUAAACUUUGCUCAUGAGUAACUCUGAGGAUGAACUGAAUGUGCAUACUUCAAACUCUGGCAAACUGUGACACUCUGGAGACACAUUCACUGUUAAGUCUGUGAGUGCUGAGGGCUGUCAAAACCCACAAUUCAUCAGGUCUUCCCGAGGUCUCAUGUUGACUUUCUGCUGACUUCCAGACAGUCCACUUGGGGUUCAGGCUUCAGCAGACCAUUUGAUUUAAUUACCCCAGAAGUCGGUGAAAUACGAGCCGAGUACUGUAAAGGAGCCCCUACAUUUUUAAAGUUAUUUUUUCUCUGAUAUUUUCAACCUUAUUAGAAAGGACAGCUGAAAAGACAUGAAAUAUGGGGAGGAGAGAUUGGGGAAGACAUACAGCUAUGGUUUUUGGCCAGGGGAUUGUGGCUGAGCCAAUCACUGGGCCAUCCAAUGACAUCAAUGGUUUCCUGAGACAACCAACUACUGUAUGCCAUACUUUCUUCUUCUUUCUUUUCCAACUGGUACAAAAGUCGCAGUUACAUUAAAAAAAUUGGCGUCCUUUCCUGUUAGCAUCCUUAACAAUAACGGACUAUAACAACAGCACUUAAAGUCAUGUCAGUCCUGUAAUCCAAUCAAAUCCAUAUGUUGAGGUUUGUGGUUGCUUCAUGUCUGUUUUCUUCGAUUUGGUUGAUGCUUUUAACAUUCCUCUCUUGUUUCUACAUGUUUUUCCCUUUUUGUCUACCUUUCUUGGCUGCCACUCAUCAGCCACUCACCACCAAUCUUUAUUUCUGUGCACAAAACAUGUGCAUCAAUAUUCAUUGUCUGUAUCUUUCUUCUUUAUUCCUCUGCUCUCCAUUCUCUCUCCUCUCUCCAUCAUUCUCCUUCGCAUGUCUCUGCCUUAAGUUCAAAGUAAGACUUGUUUACUUCCUCCUCUCCUUCAAACCAUGCUUGCUCACUCUGCUAGCUCGCCUCCCAUCCUUUCAAAUUUCCAUCUCUCCCUUCCAUGACCCUUUGCACCUUUUUUGUCUUGACAGCACUCUGCGGCUCACCCUCACGCCCCUUCCUCAUCUCCUCUCUCCCCGUUCUCUCCAGACUUCUGUAAUUUCCUCUCCUUUUCUCCCCCCUCGCCCGCCUUGUCAUUUUCGCUCCUUCAACACUUCUUUCUGUUCCCCCUUUUUUUUUCUCCCCCCUCCUCCCCUCGUCUCGCCCUCAUUCGCCCCUGUCUUCAUUUAGAGACUUGGUGUGGCUCUGAUUUCUUUAAAUAGCUCUCAUUGCCUCCAGGAGGUUGAGGCAGCAGUCUGGUUCUGCUAAUAAAUGACAGCGAACAAAUGUGAACGCUGAAUCAACUGAAGGCGAGCACGUACGCGCACUUGCGUACAGCGAGUGCGUGUGCGUACACACUCAGCACAUCAGAUCACACAACAGUGAGGCACUUCUUUUGCAUAAAAGUGACAUGAUGUGACAUGCGGCUUAAAAGACAUUCAUGGAAAGACAGCUUAAAGGUGUGCGUAUGUGUGCGAGUGAGUGUCUUUCCAUGUGCCUGCUAAAAACAGGCCCGGCUUGUUCCAUCUUAUAUCUCUCCCAUUCUUCUCCCUUUUUGUUCACCCAGUGUGGAAAUAAAUGACAAUAAUGGAUUGCACAGUCCUAGUAAUUUUGCACAUUAUUUCUGAGCCAUUGCUUUGCAUAAUGAAUGCCUGCUAAUGCACUUUUUUGUUAAUUCACCACAAAGGGUCCAAAAAGUCUGCUGUUAUGAAUCACUGCAGAGCAAUGCACGUAUUUAUUAGCAUACCACAUGCACAUUGUGUCAUUUGUAGACUUGAAAUGUAACCUGAAAGUGAAGGGGCUGAUAAGAAAGCAAGCCCCGUGUCUUUAUUUAUUGUUCCUCUGCAGCUCUGCUUUGCGCAGAUUUGUGUUAUCUCCUUAGUGGCUCUGAUAAAGCGUCUGAAUAUCUGAUUCAAUUUAUCUUAGAGGAUCAGUCUGGCUGGAUUCCUAGAUUUUGUCCUCAUUAUUUAUCUUUAUAAGUGGUUUACAGAGGGAAGCAGAUAGGAAAAGUACCACAGGACCGUAUAGCAAUGUAUUACAAACAGAGAACAGCUCCCAUAAGUCCAGUGGUAAUGUAGACUGAGGUAACCCCGAAAAUGCUGACGAUCAGUGUGGUUAAAAAAGCGAGUCUGGGGUCCAUGGUUUCCCAAAAAGAGUGCCAAACUUUGAUUGAAAGUCAUAUUGAUAAAGGCCUGACCGAUAUGGAUUUUUUGGGGCCGAUGCCGAUACCAAUUAUUAGGGGGAAAAAAUUCGGAUUACCGAUUAAUCAGCGGAUCUUUUCAAUUUUUUUUGAAGUUAUUAAAAAAAAAAAAAAUUAUAUAUAUAUAUAUACUGUAGAUAUCUACAGUUUACUUUAUACUGUAGAUAUACUGUAGGCUACUGCUCUUCACGCCGACAAGAAGACCGACUGAUCAAACUCGGACCAGAAAAGCGUCAACUACCCGAUGCCUCUGAUGCGGUGCCUCCGCGUCUUAACUCACGUUACUCAUUUCCGGUCUGGUCUCAUCUGGAGACAUUCAGCUGCCUCAGUAAGAGAAGUAGCUCAAUCAUGUAAUGUGUACUGUUGUUUAUUCUACCGUUACUAGCGCGGCUAACAGUGUAGCAAGGCUAAUAGCAGGUGGCUAACUCUAACGUUAGCUUGCAUAUUACAUGGUGCUUCACCGUUAACUCGGCGUGACCAAGACCAGCACAGCGGGGAACAUCGUGAAGUGAGUUGAACUGAAACUUGUUGACUUAUUGUGUAUUUCACAAGCUAGUUUAUUUACCGUUGAGGUGGACCACUCUCCUCCGUGCGUCCCUGAGCUGCCUGCUUCAGAUCCGUCACUCUGCUGUGCUGUGAGGUAGUUAGUGGAUGAAGAUUGUCAUGAGGUCGCUGCGCCAUCUACAGGAUAAGUCGGGCAACUGUUCAAAUGGCGGAACAUUUUCGAAGUGCAACCAAAUCUUAUUUUCCACAUUUUAUUUCUGAAAAUAUCGGUGAAAAUCAUCGAGUUUUAGCUGAUUACUGAUUAGUCUCAAUUGGGCUAAAAUUGGCUGAUUUAUUCAGCUCACCGAUAAAUCGGUGGGGCCCUAAUUAAAAGUCACAUUUAUGUCGUUUAAGAUGAUCCGAAUCCAAACAAGCCAAUCAGCAACAUCAAUGAUGGUUUUUAGGUCCUAUCUUUUAAUAACUGGAUCUGGUUAUCCUUGCUAGAAAUGUCUGAGUUUCUUUUUUGGAUAAGUUUUAGAAAACAUUAAUGCUACCUUUUUCCUGUCUUUCACCAAAGAGUCCUUUGAAAAUGAGUGCUUUAAAGUGCUUUACCAAACCUUUAAAGGUCAUGCCUCAGUGUGAUAUGUUCCUCCUCAGCAUCUGAACACUGCAGUAUAAACUACAACAAAAAGAAGACCUUGAUGUAACUAUCCUUUAAAUCUCUUUGGAUGCUGGUAUUGAUCACAUUCACUCUCGUCACAGCUGCUGCUUGCUACAGCACAAUAUGGCACCACUCACUGGAAGGCUUCAAUAUUCGUGUUAUUAUAUGUAUGAAAUGAAUCAAAAGUGUAAUUUUAAAUGAAGUCUUUCUCUGACAGAGCAUAAGAUUACCUUGAAUGAGUCUAAUUUGAAUCACAUUACGUUUCCUGGUAACUGCUGUAUGAGUAGUAGUGGUGGGCAAAACCAUUCAUUUCAGUGAACCGGACCAUUCCGGUUCGUUCAGUAAAAAGAUUCGUUAAUUUCAGUCAUUUCGGUCAAUUGGUCGUUAGUCAGUCCGUUCGCUCAUGUUCACGUUCGUUCAGCGUCUGAACGAAUGUGAGCGAACGGACUGACUCGACACGGCUGACCGGGUUUAUGCAGGGGGAGAUCUGUUCAGACUCUGAACGAACGAGAGCCUCUUAGCUCCCUUUGUGACAAUAACAUCAAGUAUUUCCAACAGAUACGUCUUUGCUGACAUUCAAAACACAGAGAGAUCUAAGAAUAUGUAUUCAACAGCUGUGCGACUUGGGACAAUCUCAUGCGCAAGUUUCCAGGUAACGGGGUCAAUUUUUACACCGAAAAACCGGCAUGUUGACCCAGCUAAACCAAGCUAUAUAGCUAGGCUAGCACAUUACAGCACAUUACAGUCAGCUCAGUACUGCUGCUGCUUCUCUAAGCCCCACCCACCCACAGAGCGAGGCACGAUGAUAGGAUAAGACAGGCAAGCACGGAGAUAGUCCCACCCUAAGGAACGGUGAACUGACUCUUCAGCCAAUCAAAAGAACUGAACGGACUGAACGGAUCAUUUAGGGGGGGUGACCUCGUUCAUUUCGUUCACCAAAAAGAACUAGUUCUUUUGAUCUGUUCGUUCAUGACCGACACAUCACUAAUGAGUAGUUCAUUCUGUCUUUGCUCUUAAUUGGUAUUUGGGGAACCUGUCUGCAUGAUUUCCUCACCAUUACACGUUUCUCUCCGGGUACAGUCAGUUAGUGCUGGACCUCUUCUGCCCCAGGCUUUUGUGUAUCUCUUUUAAGACAUCCCCGGCUGCCAUUGUGUUUUCGUUUGGGAGUCUUAGUCAGUGUUCUUUGAGAGCUUCGUUUUAAAACAGCGGCUCAGUGAGGUGGUUAAUUUUCAUUUGUGCAUCUUUCAUAUUUUAUUUUCCCAUAUCCUGUCCAAUCAUUUGUGGUUUUUGUAUCACUGCACCAACUCUUUCAUCCCACUGGUUAAUUUCCAUAGAGUUAAGGUAAGAACUUCUCUCAUUUCGAAGCUACACAGAAACUUUUUUAAAUUUUCCUCUGUAUUGAUAGUCAUGGAAACAAUUACCUUUGUUGAUUGCAAACAGCACCACUAGCUCAAUGCCACUGUACCCGUAUGAUUCUCAUUAGAGCCUGAGUCCACUGAUGGCAACUUUUAGGGCCUGUGUGCACUGAAGGCAAUGCUAGUGCCUGUUUGCACUGGGGGAAACUUUUAGGGCCUGUGUGCACUUGGGGCAACUUUUAGGGCCUGUGUCUACUGAUGGCAACUUUAAGGGCCUGUGUCCUCUGAGGGCAACUUUUUUUAGGGCCUAUGUGCACUGAUAGAAACUUUUAGGACCUGUGUGCAUUGAGGGCAACUUUUAGGGCCUGUGUCCUCUGAUGGCAACUUUUAGGGCCUGUGUGCACUAAGGGCAUCUUUUUGGGCCUGUGUCCACUGAUGGCAACAUUUAGGGCCUAUGUCUUCUGAUGGCAACUAUAAGGGCCUGUGUACACCGAGGGCAACUUUUAGGGUCUGUGUGCACUGACGGAAAUUUUUUGGGCCUGUGUACACUGACAGCAACUUUAAGGGCCCAUGUCCACAGAUGGCAACAUUAAGGGCCUGUGUGAACUAAGGGCAACUUUUAGGGCCUGCGUACACUGAGGGCAGUUUUCAGGGCCUGUGUCCAAGUACAGCAAUUUUGAAGGCCUGUGUCCACUCAGGGCAAUUUUGGCACCAGUUGUGCCUAUUUUUAUACAUUUUUUAAAACACCAUCAUGUUCCCAGCACUCAGUGUACUAAGCCCAUACUAUAUGCUUGGCAUUAGCUGUUUUUCAUUACCAUAAGCACAGAUUGUUUGGCAGGCAAGUACAUAAACUUUUAAACACCUCUGGGAACUAGUGGUACAAAUUUAAAUGUCAAAUUAUGUCCAAGGAUGCAUGCCCUUGCAAUGUUUGGAAGAUGGUCAGGCUGAAAUCGCAGUUCAAGGUCUUGGGAAACAACCUGAGAAAGUUCAAGCACGGCAGAAAAUUGAAUAUGACUAACUGUGGGCCACAAAUCACUUGAAGGCUUCAUAAAAUAAAAUAAAUACACUGCAAAUCAAGCAGUGUUCAUUUAGUCACUACACUCGCCGCUGCAUGCACAAAAAAUCAUAUUGAUCCCUCGACUUAGUGGCAGGACACUCCAUUUGCUUGUCUGCCAACAACUGCAAUUUUUCUGUUUGAAAUUGCACGCUGACAGUUCCAAUAAUGACCCCAGAUCACAGACACAGAGAAGAACCGAAAAGAGGAG
rnacentral:lncRNA from 1 species